CGACUUGGACUACAAGACCAAGUAAAUGCCUUAACCACAACUCGUUAUCUUCAAUCGAGUAUGCAGUGAUUGUGUCUGGGCCACCAAGGUGCAGGAGUAGAAAAGGUGCCCAAAAUGCCUGGAUGGAAUUGUUUGCUUUUUUUGAACCGUCACCUGAUGAAUCUCCUUGGCUCCUGGCUAGAGUACCCAGUGCAACAGUUGCCACCAUGUCUGCUGAUAGGUAUGCAAACCAAACGAGAAUCCUGAUCCAGAUUCUGCUGGUGGUCUUUCGCCGAGACCCAAAUAUGAUGAGGAUGGUUUGUAGUAAGAGACUAAGCAAAACCAUUCCUCGAAUCUCCCAAUUGUUCCAUAAAUUUAAGACUUUUUCAGGCAAAUUUUUAAGCAUUGUCAUCUUUUCCCCAACUGUGGAAACUAGUUCUCUCUAUGAACCCUUGAAAAAACAGUUUUGUAAGAUGAAAAGGUAAAUGUGGAUAUAUUUGAAAAAAAUCUCUUAAAAUGAACAGCGAAAAUUAAAGACUCCUAUAAGAAAAGAAGAGGUGCAGAUGGAGGAAGACAGGGAACAAUUCUGAAGCCUUCGGCAAUUCUGGAAAAAGCACAGCCACCACAAUUCUGAAGCUUCGGCACCACGACCAGCGUUAAAACCCACCAAAAAUAGUGGCAAUAAGAGGUGCAGUUGGAGGAAGACAAUGAACAACCACUGCCGUGACCCACAUCAAAUCACCGUCAUGAAGUCUUCCUCCCUCAGUGAUCGAUUAAAUGCGAUAUGGUUUCAUCAAAUUUGGGUUUCUUUUGAUUUAUGGGAGGUUCUUGAGAUGGGUUUAUGUUGGAUAAGUGGAUUUGAAGGAAUCUGGAGAGGGAGAGAGUACUUUACUAAAAUUUUCUUUUAACUAUGAAUUAUUUUUCAAAGGAACUUUUCUAACAACCAUAGAAAAACUUUUCAAUAAUUGUUGCCUUUGUUGCCUCGGACUUGACAAAUAGUCAUGCAUUGCUGUUAAACAAAGACUUGUGCAGUAAUUGCCUCGGACUUGACAAAUAGUCAUGCAUUGCUGUUAAACAAAGACUUGUGCAGUAAAAAGGCAUUGACCAUAUAAAUAAUUGGCUUUGCACUGUUCCAUUCGACACUUUACUUGACUUGUGCAGGAAAAGGAUAGCGAGAAAGGAAAUUGGCAUCAUACCUCCGUGGAACUUAACAGGCCCACACGCAAAGACUUAACAGGCCCACACUGUAUUAUUUCUCAGAUAUCUAUCAAUAACCUCACGAUAUUCCUCCUCCUUUAUUUUUGUUGAAAAUUGCAGGCCCACACGCAAAGACUUUAUUAAAUGGGCCAAGCGCUGGGACAAUACCUGGUAUUUUCCUUCUCUCUCUGUUUUUUUUUUCUAAAUAUUGUUUUUUUUAAUUAAUGCCUUUUCUUAAUAUAUGUUUUUUCAGAAUGAUUUUUAAAUUUAUAUUUAAAUUAACACAUCUUCUCUUUUCUUCCCUUUAUUUAGCCUCAUUUAAAUAGCAUUAUUUUUUAUUAUUUUAUAUGCAUUUAAUUUUUAAAGAGAUUAUUUUAAUUCAUAUAUAAUUGUUUUUAUGUUUUAAAUAACAAAUAUUUAUUUUUGAAUAAUAUUUCUAAUAAAUAUAACCUUGUAUAAUUUUUUUUAUUCAAUCAAUUUUAUAUUUGUCUAUUUCUAUCUAUUUUUGAAUAAAUAAAAAUUUCAUUACCAUGUGUAAGCGUUUUUAUUUACACUUAUGUUUUUUUAUAUAUACAAAAAUACAUUGAAAAAGCUUUAGUAUAUAAUUUUUUUAAAGAAAAAAAAUUAAUCUAUGAUAAAGCGCCAGUCAAAUAGCUGGUAAAUAAAUUUAAAAAUUUUGGUGUAAACUCGCCUCCUUCAUUGUUCACAUGAACAACGAAGGAGGCCUUUUUGCAUUUUUCUUCAAGCUUAUAAGGAAGCGAACAAGGACAGCUUAGAGAGGGAAAUGAGAAGGAAUCCAAUGGCCGGGAGUGCGUCCAUCACUUCCAGCCUUCCCAUACAAUGGAGAACAGAGGUAUAUUGUUCUGCACAUUAUAAUUUUGGAUCAAAUCAUUGGUCUUUUUGUUGAAGCCAGUACAUCGUUCUUAUGCACUUCCAGCUCUAUGGGACUGGAUUUUGCUUUUGGAUUGCAUUGAAUUGAAAAUUUGCUUCUUUUUCUGGCUUAAUCUGCAUGAUUUUGUUCCUGUUUACAAUUACCUUGCCUUCUCCCCUAAGAAUUUCAAGAUUAAUAUGCCAAAAGAUGAAGUUUUUGUUAGUUUACUGAAAUCUCUUUCUUGCACAUAAAGAGAAAUCCGGCACGAUUAAAGAAUUGAUGUUUUAUCCUAAGUGCAUGAAUGUCAAAGUAAUAAAUAACCCAGCAAAACUGGAUCGAACCACAAGAAGGUCAACUAUAUAAAUAAUAUAUAUUUUUAAUUUAAAAAUUAAAAAGAUUUUUAAGAUGUGAGAUUAAUGUGAGGAUUAAACAAUGAUAAAAAUAUAUGUCAAGAUUAAAAGAUCCACCAAUGGUAUUAGAAAUAAGUAUAAACUCAUUAUAAAUUAUUAACAUGAUCAUAUUAAUUAUUUUAUUUUUGUAACACCAUACUUAUAAAUAUCAUCAGACAUUCAUGUUGCUAACUUAUAUUAACAAUAAAUCAAGUUCCUUUCAUAACAACGAUGUCGGCCGAAGAUUAUGAAGGCUCAAGCAUUUGAUGUACCAAGUGUUAUACAACACAAAUCUAGAUUAAUCAUUUAACAAGCAAUGUAUUAAGAAUUAGUAAGAUAAAAAGAUAAGACAUAUUAAUAACAAACUUAUCUUGGAUAUAAGUAUUGAAGUCCAUAUUAAAUUUGUAUUAUGUUUAUUCUAAUUCUAUUAGUGAAAUCUUUUCAUGUUGACAUAAUUAAUUUAACUAAACAUAAUGAAGAAAAAAAACAUAAAUAAACAAAAUAAAAGUAUAAUUAUGAUAUAAGUUAACUAAACGUAGUAAAAGAAAUGAAAAUCAUAAAUAAAAAAUUAAUAUAACUUAAAAAAAAACUUGAAUAUUACAAAGAAAGAAAUCAUUGAUCUAAAAACCAAAAUUUCUAAAUGAAUGAUAAUUGACUUUUUCUAUAGGGUAAAAUUAAGAAAUAUUCAUUUGGUAAUGGUAAUUGAUUAUUAAUAUAUUAAAAUAAUAUGUUUUUUAGAUUAUAAUUAUUAAUCAGACAUGAUGAACUGCAAGUGGGAAGAUAACCAAAUGGCCUUAGAUUUAGUUGUUCGAUAUGGGACAAUCUGCUGCUGUUUUCUUCUCACUUUUUGCUUCAAAUCCUGAUAAAACAAAGAACGGAUAACAUGCAGCACGAGUCAAUGGUGCGACAGUAUAUGGCCCUCCAACAGGAUCUCUUCAAAGACAUGUGAUUUACUAUGUUUUUUCAAGCAAAGAUUUUUAUUCAUUAUACUUUUGGGAGCAACGCCAAAAAACUUUGUGAGACAUCAGUUUCUCUUUAACCUAUAUAUAUUUUUUUUAAUGGUUAGUUGGACGUGACAGGACACCUAGUUCGAACAAUUGAAUUUCGAUCAAGAACUAAAGAUAAUGUGAAAAGAUACAAGUUAAAAUACCUACACCUUUUGAUUUCUCUGCUCACUUUAAUUAAGUUAUCAUAAACAAUUAUUUUUUAUUUAAAAAUAUAUUAAAAUAACAUGUUUUUUAAAUUAUCAUUAUUAAUCAGACAUGCUGAACAGCAAGUGGGAAGAUAAUCGAAUGGCCUUUGGUUGUUCGAUGUGGGACAACCUGCUACUGUUUUCUUCUCACUUUUUGCUUCAAAUCCUGAUAAAACAAAAAAGGAAACAUGCCUCUUAUCCCCGCAGUAACUUACCUGCUUACUAGGUUUACAGGAUGUUUAAUAGACUUUAAAAUUAGUUAUGGUGUGCGUAAGCUGACCAAAACACCGAGGAUAAAAAAAAAAAAAGAUAACAUGCAACACGAGUCAAUAGUGCGACAAGACAACUUACCUAACCUUCAACAGUAUCUCUUCAAAGAAAUAUAUGAUUUACUCUGUUUUUUCAAGGAAAGAUUUUUAUUCAUUGGACUCUUGGGAGCAACGCCAAAAAACUCUGUGAGAUAUAAAAAAAUAUAUAUUUCUUCUUUUUAAUUACCAAAAUAUAAAAUAUAAAAAAUUACAAGAAUCUAAUUCAAGCUUGCAAGGAAGCGAACAAGGACAGGUUAUGCACUGACAUUUUAGAAUGCGUUUGGUACUUUUAUUAAAAAACAUUUUUAAAAAAUUUUGAUUUUAUUUUUGCUUUGAAUUAAUGUGUUUUUGAUGUUAUCAAAUCAUUUUCAUGUGUUGAUUUUAGAAAUAAUUUUUAAAAAAUAAAAAAUAUAUUAUUGACAUUUUUUUUUGAGUGAAAAUACUUUAAAAAGCAACAACAAUCACAUUUUCAAACACGCCGAAAUGAAAAAGAAUCCAAUGGCCAGGAGUGCCUCCAUCACUUCCCAUACAAUGGAUGAUGAUCUUCACGUAAAGCUGCUAUACCUGAAGAACAGAGGUAUAUUGUUCUGCACAUGAUAACUUUGGAUCAAAUCACCAGUCUUUUUGCUGAAGCCAGUACAUAGUUCAUAUGCACUUUCAGUUCUAUGGGACUGGAUUUUGCUUUUCGAUUGCAUUGAAUUGAAAAUUUGCUUCUUUUUCUGGCUUAAUCUGCAUGAUUUUGUUCCUGUUUACAAUUACCUUGCCUUUUCUCCUAAGAAUUUCAAGAUUAAUAUGCCAAAAGCUGAAGUUUUUUGUUAGUUUACUGAAAUCUCUUUCUUGCACAUAGAGAGAAAUCCGGCAAUGGUAUCUUCAAAUACUCUGUUGAGAUACCUACAUGUUAAUAGUACUGAUCUUCUUGCUGCUAGCUAUCUUGUUUGCUCUUCUUCAAAUCGGAGCUUUUAUGCUCUUUUUAUUUUAGUCUCCUAAUUUACCAUGCAAUCUUGAUGGAAAUAGAAAAUUUUUUUAAUGGCAUUUGAUGCGCACAAAGGUGAAGGCAUCCCAUUGAUUUAUGGCUUUAGCGCCUUUUGUUCAAUUAUGAUCUUGAGAAGUGAAGCAGAUUCAUUGUUUUAAAUAAUUAAGUAAUUUUUUUCUUAUAAAAAAGUUAGUCCAUGACAUGAGAAUUACGUGUUACCUUCAAGUCCAUUUAAUAUUUCUCUAUCACAAUAUUUUUAUAAAUAAAAUAUUAACUUAAUUUUAUUUUAAAAUCAAAUCGUAUUUUAAAAUUUAAAUAUAAUAUUUUUUUAAAAAAUAUUAACUCAAUCUGGUCAAUCAACUCAACAUGAUUUAAAUUUUUUAUAUUAAAAAAACUAAUAUCAUAGCAUAACUUAACGCUUUAGCGCCAUUAAACCAAAUAAUUAAUUAAAUAAUGAAUAAAAAUGAUUUAAAAAUUAAAAAUUUAGCGAUUUGCACGUCCUAAUUUGUUUUAGUUAACUCACUUAAAUAAUUAUGGAUACAACUUAUUCCAUUGAUCAUAAUUACUUUGUGUUGGCGAGCCUCCUGGAAGAGCGACAAUCCUCUGUGCUUAAGCUUUUUUUCUUUAGCUGCCACCACCUUUUUAAGUUCUUCCACGUCCACCUUUUUAAAUAAUUAGUUGAUAUUUCAUUAAUAAACGCAAUUUAUUCUUAUUUAAAAUUCAAAAUUAGGAGUCUCUUGAAUUUCAAUUUCAUUCCUCACUCCAAAAUAUAAAUAUAUAGAGAGACUAAUUUCUUGAUAUUAAUUGAUAAAAGUUUGCUAGUAAAUUAAGUACACUAAUGUUGUUUUAUUUGAUUGUUGUUCGAUGUACGUAAAUUAAGUGCAACAUUGUUUAAAUAAAAGGACACGUAGUGUAAGAGCUCUGCAACACUGGAUGAAGAAGUUUUACAUAUGGAUUUUCUGAAAAUAAAACAACAAGACAUGAAUAUGGCAUCAACAAUUUCUUAAAUAAUCAAGUAAUGAACUCCAUUAAAAUUAAUAAUUUGUUUUUUUAAAAUUAUUAUUUAUUUAACUAUAUAAUAACAAAAAUAGAUGAUUUCAAAAUCGAUCGUCAAAUCAAUAUUGAGAUUUGUUUUUAAGAUUAUGAUGACCUUAUAGAAAACAAAACAAAAUAAAUUAUGAAACCUAAUUUUCAAUUGAUCCAAUAUUAAAUGAUAAAAUAAAAAAAAUAAAUUUAUAAGAAGAAGAAAAAAAAUUUAACUAGUCAUACUUGUCAACAAACCCAUAAACUUUCUAAAAUUUAGUAACAUAUUGUUUUCCAAAACUAUUUUUUUAACUAUAUGAUAAAAAAAAAAUAAACAAUCACGUAAUCAUGUUUAAUUAGAGGAAAAAAAAUAUCUUGCUAAACCCACAAGCUCGCAAGGGUUACUUUGUCAAACUCGUAAGUCGAGUCAUUGACUCCAUAAAAUUUAUUAACCUAGUUUUUUUUAAUUAUUUUUUAUUUAAAUAAAAUUUUUAAAAAAUAAAUCAUACCGCGAUGCUAGGAUAUUGUUUUGAUACCAAUCCGAUGCUGAGAUAUUUUUUUGAUAUUGUAAUAACCAUAUAGAAGACAAAUUAAAAUAAAUUAUCAACUAUAAACCCCAUAAAUAUAUCACAUAAGAACUAAAAAAAAUCAAUAACCAAAGAACAAAAAAAGUUAAAAUACAAAGAAAAAAAACAACACUGGUUAUUGAUUGUUUUAGUUCUUAUAUGAUAUGUUUAUGGGUUUUAGAGUUGAUAAAUUAUUUUAAUUGAAAAAAUAUCAAUAAUUUAUCGAUUUAUAUCCAACAUAAUUGUAUAGUUUUGUAUUGUUUUCUUAGUAUCAUUCAAGAUUGAUUUUAUGAGAUACAUGUAAGGCAUUCUAAUUUUUUUUGUAAAAAUUAAGUAUGGAGGAUUGAAGAUUAGCUUAGGUAAAUGUGAAUAUUAGUAUGGAGGGAGAGGUAGACCUUUAGUGCCAUCUCCAAGCAAGAUGUCUCUAAUGGUGAUUUAUCAGUCACACAACUUGGUUUAAAAUGGAAAAUUUCUUUAUUGAGGCUUAAAAUCAACAUUGAAUGACAUAUAUGAUGCUCAAAAAUAUUAUUUGAUAAAUUUUAUUUUUGUCUUUAUAGAUUAAUUAACAUUUUCUUCUAAUCCUAUAGUUUAAACUUUUCCAAUAUUGUCCCUCUAGUUUCUAAAAUUAGCAAUGUUAACUUAGCCAUUAAUAAAAAGCUUAGCAUUUACAUUUGGUUUUUGAGUUUUUCUUUUUUGGAAUGUUUUUAAGUGUUUUCUUAACAUAAUUGAGAGGAAGCGAAAGAGAUUUGUAAGAAAAUGUUUUUUUAAAAAAAGUUUUGUUAGUUAGGGCGGGGGGAGGGGGGGGGGGGGUUGAAACUUUUUUUUAAAAAACUAUAAAUUUCAAACUAUUGAGAUGAGAGUAUAGCAUUGAUCAUUUAUAAAGAUAAAAAAAAAUAAAAAUAAGUUCACCCAAUUUUCCAAAAUAAGUUAACAACUAUUUCACAGCAAAAUGAAAGGAUUCUACAUGUUUUUACAACAAGGCAACGCUAAAUUGUGAAGUUCAAUUAAUAUGCAUUCAAGGGAGUGAAGAUACGUCGACAAGAUAUAUAUAUAUAUUUUUAAUCAAACUCCCAAUUCUUCCUUCUCAUUCCUAUUUUUGAAUUUGAAUACUCACAUAUUUUUUAAAAAAACUUGAACAUACUUUAAAUUUAAUCAUUGGUUUUGAAUUUAAUGAUAUGAAUUAAAUGAGAAAAAUAAAAUAAUAUUUUUUUUCACACGUGAAACCAUUAUCAUCCAGGUGUCAUGCUUUGAAUUCAAUAAAAAUGAUAGUAAUGUCUUUUUAAGAACUUUUCCCCAACAGUGGAAACUAGUUCUGUCAUUGAACCCAGAAGAAACUGUUUUGUAAGAUGAAAAGUAAAUAUGGAUAUCUCUGAAAAAAUCUCUUAAAAGGAAUAGUGAAGAGAUUCUUAUGAGAAAAGAAUUCUGCACUAGAUUUCGAGUAAGGUGUCCUAAAAUAGGAGUCGCUGCAUAUUGUUAUUACAGCAAGCAAAGAAAAGGUAUGGAAUGCAUUACAAAUUAAUAUAUGGAAGUGAGUUCUAGGAUAAAUCUUCUUUAACUUAAAGCUUGCUUGGCCGGCUUUUACAAACCAUAGCAACAUGUACAAGGAAGAAUUUGGUACUUGGCUUGGGUACACAGCAAUGAAGAGAUGCUAAAUAGUAAUAAAGAGAUGCUGCUUGAAUCAAGAGACUUUAAAUUAGUUGCCUGAUAGACAAUAGACAUAGCUUUCUGACACUUAAAGAAGGAAUUCUGAAUAUCAAUAUGAGGUUAGAGUACUGAAAUCCCCGGCCCAAGUUUUGAAUAUGAUACUACGUACCAUUUACUGCUAACGAGUUUCUGCCUUGCAUCAGUGGAAUUUCGCAUCUUAACCUAAUCAACGAUUGUCAUCCUCUCAGUGAAUAAAACAAUGGGUUUAUCCAAUAUCUUUUCAUUCUCAAGAGAUAGGCAAAGGCUUUGCUGCUUUGCACAUUUUCAGCGGGCGAGUGAAAAUAUUCUUAUGAGAAAUUACUUCUGCAGUGGAUUGUAGUUGGCGUAUCAAAAAAAAAAAGAAUCGCUGCAUAAUGCUGUUACAAGCAAAAAGAAGGUAUGGGUUGCAAUGCCAUAAAAUAGAUAGAUGCAACUUCCAAGAUGUGUUGCCUAUAAUUCUAAAGCUCCGGCAAUCAGCUUUCGCAAAUCAACACAUUUGAGUAAAAAUCUUAAAAUUAGGUUGCUUUGAUACAGAGCAAGCAAGAGAUGCUAAAUAUUAAAGAGAUAUUCAGCUUGCAAGGAAUAAAAGAUUUAAAUUAGUUUUAUUUUUAUUUUCUCGGUGGACAGAGUUUGGUUUCCUUUUCUUAAACUCUUAAAGGGGCAUUGGGGUUGGGCACAAAACAAAGAAUAGAUGCUAGAUAAUAAAGAAUGCAGAUUGCAAGGAUGAAGAAACUUUAAAUUAAUUGCAUUUUCUUUUCUCCAUACACAGAGUUCGCUUUCUGUUUUAGAGAAGGAACACUGAACAUCAACGCAGUAUCUUUUGACUUCAUUUCUGGGAAUAUGAUGUUUGAGUGCUGAACUCCCGAAAGGUUUGAAUCUGUAGCUCACAGUUACCCUUGGAUUGGUGUAUUAUCAAUACUGCAACCUCAAAACAGAGAAAAUGUACCUGAUGAUGUGUUAUGCAGGAUAUGAAGCCCCUGAUACAUGGACAAUGGAAUCUGGUUCAAUCAUCAAUAGUAUUUCUUAAAACAUUUUCAAAACUAUUCAACUCAAUAGGCACCUUGAAAAUUUUGCAAGAACCCACCUGGUGAGGUGUAAGACUCCAUCUAUACUGGCUUGUAUAGCUCGGAAUCCUUUGCCUGCACCAUGUUAGAAGGCAACUCAAGAAAAAUGUUCCUGAUUAAAAUUCCGCAUCGAAAAGAUUUCAAGAAGAGCUUCAUGCCUGUUAUAGCAGCAAUGCAAGGACAAUGGUAACAAAUCAACAAUUAAAAUGAGAGUGAUGGGCAUUGUAAGGUGGCUUGAUAGACACAUCAAAUGUCAUGGAAACUUAGCAUGAAUACGAUGAAGUACGCUUUGAAAUUGAAACAAGAAUCAUAGUUAUAUAUUUAUCUACUAUAUAUCUAUCCAGAUGUAUAGCAGAUCAGAAACAAGGCAGCUUACCUUGUCCAGUUGAAUAAACGGAUUGACAUGUGAAGCAUCAGAGGAGGCUGGCUUUUCUUAUGUUAAUGGAUUGUCAUAUUAAGCUCUGCUUCUUGGCACCUCUCUGUCUAGAGCGUCCCAUCCUGGACCUGAUAAUUUUUCCAGGAAAAACCUGUGUGUGAGAGGAGAGCUGCUUGAGAUGCAGCCAUUCCAAAGUAAGGUAAAAAAAAAAAGUGUUUGAAAACAUUGAGCAAGUUUGUGCGUAGCAUUACUGAUCUGGGCAGCCGGAAAAUUAGAAAUUAAUUUUUUCAAUAUUUUAAUAUAUUAUUAACAAAAAUAAAUUUUAAAAAUAAAAAAUUAUUAUUUCAACACAUUAAAAAAAAACUGAUACAACACAAAUGUUUUGCUCGUGUUUUUUCUGACUACGGAUACGACAUAGUACUCUUAUUUGAAGACUAAACUCAUCUUAUUAUUUGAUAAAGAUUGAAUAAUCCCUUGAUCAUCAGUUUGUGCGUGCUGGUGAACCUUCUUAAAGAGCACGAAUCCCAUGCUAUGGAGUUGAUGCACCUAAAAAGGACCUCAGCUGCUCAAGCUCUCGCUCUUUACGCUCAAGCUCUUCGUCUUUACAUGCUACCAUCCUUUUCAGUUCUUUCACCUCCUUCAAAAUAGUUGUAAUUUUCUAAUGAACAAUGUAUUUUAUUUAAGGAAUAAUACAGACCAAGCUAAAAAUUAUAUGGAUCUUUAUUAAAAGUCUACCUCCAAUAAAAAAAAAUAUAGAGGAAAAAAAAAUAUAGAGGAAUAAAGUUUGAUUCUAUAGCCAUAGAAUCCAAACAGUAAAAAGGCAGUGACCAUUCGACAGUUUACUUGAGGAAAAGGAUAGCGAGAAAGGAAAUUGGCAUCAUACCUCAUUGGAACUUAACGGUGACAUGUCUGCAUUACCUCUCAGAUAUCAAUGGCCCCACGAUAUUCUUCUUCCUCCUUUAUAUUUUUUGUUGAAAAUUGCGAUGAAACAUCAUCCAGAUUGUUGUCAAGAAUUAAAGUAGUCAUCAGUUAACAUAAUCAAAUAUCUAAUAUUAAUAAUUUACUCCAUAGUUUUCUUAGACACAAAGAUCAAUAUAUGGUAAUCGAUGGAGCUAAUGUACUUGAGAUAGAUUUUUGGUAGACUUACCCGUGGCAAUACCAGAUCAUGACCACGUAUAUAUUCUUUUAAUGAAUUGUAGUCUUUGAAUGAAUUGUAUUCAUACGAUUAUCUAGUCCAUCUAAGAACGUAUAAACUCUAUACUACUAUAAAAUAGAAUUAUAUCUUUGUAAAUCAACCUCACAUUUCAAUGGAUUUCGGCAGCAAAAAUCAAUUUCUCUCCAUAAACAUUGAAAAUUGUUGUAGUAUGUCUAUCCUCCAAACUUUUUUAAGUCUCAUCAUGUUCUUCUUGAGAUCAUAAGCUUGUGAGGUGUCAGCGCUGUCGCACGUCGAAAAAAAAUCAGCGCGCGGCAUCGGCUGACGAUUUUUCGUCUCGUAUGUUAUUGCGUUUGCUUUGAAUUCGUUCGUUGGAGUCGCCACCUAGUAACUCAUUGAGGGCUACUAGGAAACCCGAUGUACUGGUCUUGUCAGAGAUUCGCGGGUAAGGGACUGGUUGUGGUUAAGGAAGGUAUUAACACCCCUAACGCACCCUACCUGAGGUAAGCUGCUUCGCAAAUUUAAUGUGUUAAAGAAGUUUUAAUAAUUGUCUUUUCAUCGGAAAUUAGAAAUAUCACUUACGUAUAAGUUAAUAAUUCUUAACCGUGAUACGAUCAAAAUAUUAAAUUCUUCUUUAAUAUAUUUGCAAUUUUAUCAUUAAAAAAAAUAUAUACAAAUAAAUAAAACAACAUACAAACACCCACAUUCACUUUUACUAUAUUUUUUCUUUUUCUUUUCUUUUCUUUUACACCCAAAAAAUACAAACUAAAAAAAAAAAAGACUCAAAAUUACAUAAAUAUUACAUUAAACAAUUUGAAAUUACAAAAAUUAACCCUAAAACAAACUAGAAAUUACAGGGAUAGCCUUCAACAGCCGGAACAGUGUUCAGCAAAGUUUUUGGGCGCGGGAACAGUGGCGGCGCGUGGACCUCACGCCCCGCCGUGACUGGCGGCGCGUGGACCUCUCGCACCGCCGUGACUGGCGGCGCGUGGGCUCAGGCGCCGCCCCGAAAAUCAAGCAACGUGAGGGAGCUGUAAUGGCUUCCUCCUCUCUUCAAUCUCUUGCUAUCUGUCACCUGCAAAAUAAAAAACACACAGCAAGGGCAGUCGAUUUUUUUUUUUUUGUCUUAGAAUCUGCUUUUAAUUUAUUUAUUUUUUGGUCUGUGGUUCCUUUCUUCUUCUCCGUUUCGGAUCGGCCUCCCUCUGGCUGCAGGUCCGAUUGAGGAGUGUUCGGUGGCGGUGCUGUGGUCGGGUCUGUGGUGGCCGUCGCUGUUGUAGCCUACGGCCGCUGGUGCUGCUGCGGAGAGGAAGAUGGGUGUCGAUGUUGAGAUGGAAGAGCGAAUAGAUCGCGAUUUGUGGGCGUGCCGCUGGCUGGUCUUCCUCCUGUCGGUGGUAGCGGCGGUUGGGUUCGGUCAGAGCUGGAGCCACCGGCGAUGAAGAAGAGAGAUGGGACUGUCUUGUGGGUCUGUCGGGUGGUCUGUUGAAGGAGGUCGGGUGCUGCUGUGGAAGACUGGAGAAGAAAAUCAGAACCAGGGGGGGGCUGUUCGGCUGUGUUUUCCGGCUAAGGAGAAGAAGAUGGAAAAUGAGGGAACCGUUUGGCAAGGGGGGAGAAGAUGAGAAAAUUUCCAACCGGGGGUGUUGCUGUUUGGGUGUGGCCAAGGAAGAGAGGCGGUUGUGAGUCUGUGGUGGAGAAAAAAUUAGUGUGGGGGGGGGGGGCGGCGGUUGUUUGGAGAAAUAGGGAGAAGAUAGGUUUAGGGUUUUCUGUAUUUUGUAGAUGUUGUCAAAAUUGCCCCCCCUCCUUUGUUUGAGUUAAAGACCAGUAUUUAUAGGCAGAAUGUUGCUAAGUUUUCAAACUUGGUCCCUCAACUUCUUUCUUUUUUUGUAAAUUUUGAUUUUUCUUAUUUUUUGUAUUUUUUUAAAAGAAUGAGCAAUAUCAACGUCGACUCAAUGAGAAAAAUCAAUGAUUUUAAAAAUGACGCGUGAAAAGUCAAACGCGUUUGAAAAUCUUUUGAAAAAUUAAAUUCUUUAAAUAAAAAUUAAAUUCUUUUUAGACGACGCUGAAAAUGUUAAAAUGAUGAGAAUAUAUUAAAAAACAUAUUUUUUGGAUUUUCAUUGUUUUUCUCUAUUUUUGGAUUUUUUGAAAAUAUAUCAAAAACAUGGGUCAAAAAUUGGGUAGCAACAAGCAUCAUCAAACUAUAUUGCAGCAAUAGCAUCCCAUUCGGCUUUCGCCGUUGUAAAUAUGAUGUAGUUUCUUUGGAUCCAAUGUGUUGUAACCCAUUUUUAGGUGCCCACAAAAAAAAUAAAAUAAAUAGCCAAAGAAAGUUAGAAAACUAACAGGAGGCAGAAGCGCUCAGAAAAUGGUCGGAAGAUUGGUCAAGGAGGUUAAAAAAUACAAAGAUUGGAUUUUUGACAGUAUAUUCUUGAAGGAUGAGAGCCCUGUUGAGAAGGAAAAUUUGAAUUUUGAGGAGAAAAGCCCAAAUUUGGAUGUUUAUAGACUUAAUUGGAUUUUAUUUGAAUUUAUAAAGGAUUUGAGUGCAAGAAAAAUUGAUUUUUAAGUCAAUUUGGGCUUUAAUUAGAAGAAAUUUAAGUUCUGGGGCCAAAAUAUAUAUUUUUGGAAUUUAUUAGGUCAAAUCAGGGGCUUAAUUGCAUAAAUAUUGAAGUUUAAUGGCCAAUUAGGGGCUCAAUUGUGAAAAUCCGAAACCAGGGACCAAUUUGGAAAACACGGGUAAAUAGAGGGGGCUGUUUUGAAUUGAUUCAGGGGCGUAAUUGAAGAAAUUGGAAGUUUAUUGAUCAAUUGAGGGCUUAAUUGCAUCAAUCAAAGGCCAAGGACCAAGGUGAAAAACGCGGCCAACUAUGGGGGCGAAGACCGAAAUUGGCAGGGACGCAAUUGAAAGAAACUGAAGCACGAGAGGGAGAAAGAAAAGAAAAAAUCGAGACCAAGAGAGAGAGAGAAACUGAAGGAGAGAGAAACAACUGAACUAAAGGAAUAAACACUUAAAACUCAAAGAAACAAAACUGGGAGGAGGGGGAAGAGGACAGAAGCCGUGGGAGAGCUUAGAGAAAACGAAGACCGAGCACGAUCCGAGAGGUUACCGGACCGUUGGGAACCGUCGCUUUGAGCCACCAACCUCCGCUGCAGCACCAUCAACACGGACGUUCGACCAGCAGCAUCGCCUCCGCCGCGCCAGGUAUUCUUCUCCCCUUGCAUUUUCGUUUGCCAUUAUAUUUGUUUUCCUCCUGCAUGCAAAAUCGUUCUGCAUGCAGGAGGUAGGGGAAGGGAAAAUAAUUCCCUUCCCCGUUGGGUUUUUGCACUGGGUCGGGUUUCCGGCCCAGUUUUGUUAUAUUUUUUGGGCCAGACCGAGUCUGGCCCAGUCCAAAGGGAAAUUUUUUUUGUUGGGCCGAGAUCAGCCCAACCUCCUUGCGGGUCGAGAUCGGCCCAACCCUGUUUUGGGCUGAUGUUUGGCCCAUCUACCCGGCCCAAUUCCAGUUGGGUUGGGUUCGGCCCAUUUAUUUGGGCCGGCCCAGCCCGAAUUUUUUUAUUAUUGUAUAUUAUAAAUUAUAAUAUAUUAUAAUAUAUAUGUGUGUAUAUGUGUGUGUGUGUGUGUGUGUGUGUGUGUGUGUGUGUGUGUGUGUGUGUGUAUAUUGUUUAAAAAAUAUUAUUGAUUUCCCUGAAUAUUUUUGUCAAAAUGGGUUAAUGUUGGUUGGUAUUUUUAUACCGUAAAGAUACAAAACCAAUGUUAAAAAUACCCGGUUUUCGUCAAAACAUCAAAGAUUCUCAGAAUAAAAAAUGUUUUUGCUUUCAAAAAAUUAUAAAAAGUCCCUAAAAAUAUUGUUGAUUUUUUCUGCAUAUUUUUAUUAAAGUGGAUUAAUAUUGGGUUGUAUUUUUAUACCGUAAGAAUACAAACUUAGUGUUAAAAUACUCGAUUUUCGUCAAAGCAUAAAAAAAAAAAUUCAAAAAUGUUUUUGUUUUAAAAUACGGCCUAGUCUCUCCAAUAUAUAUAUUAUAACAUCGUAUAUUCACACAACAAAGGAGAUUUUCAAAAUAAUAUAUAUAUAUUAACAUGCAUUUUGGCUUCAAUAACCAAUUUAUUCCAGUCAUGAGAACUAGGUCAAUAUUUCAAAAAUUCUAAAAAAUCUUUUUGUUUCCAUUUAGUAUUUGGGAUUACGAAUUUAUACGUAAAACGUAUUCCUAAAUAUUAUUUUGGUAUAGACAUUAGAACGGUUAGGUUUUUUACCCGAUAAGAUAAAGACCUUCUUACCGAGGAGGACUUUUCUUGAACCAUAGACAGACCAACAACUAGAAGCCCAAAAACACCUUAGUUUUUAUCAGACAAUAAAACAAUGCAGCUUACCUUAGAUAGGGCGUAUUUGGAGUGUUAAUACCUUCCCUUUACGCAACCAGUCCCCAUACCCGAUCUCCGAGACCAGUUAGGGUUCCUAGUGACCAAAAUACUAGGUGGCGACUCCCAUUCCACUUUCUACCAAAAAAAGACAAGAAUUUUCUUGUCUUCCCAUUAUCUGCCACAUAAAAAUAGAUUUACAUUCUUUAAAAAUGGAAAAACUUAGAUUUUCGCCGCGACGCCGCACACGUGCGACACAAUGAAUGAAUAGCCAUCCCUUCACAACUGCAUUUUAUAUUCUCCAAAAAAAUCCCUAUAAUCUCUCAAAAAAAUCCUUUGUCAACGACUCACGCCAACAACCAGCAUUUAAGAACAAAUGGAUCGCUGUUUACAAGUUCUUAAAUUGAUAUAUUAAAUAUCAUAAUUUUGUGAACUCAUAGAAACUUCAUAAUUUUUAAAUAAGUACCUGAACAAUAACAAGUCUAAGAAGCUGGAUGGGUCAUCAUAAGCACUUGAUGAUUAUGGCUCUUCCAUUAACAGUAACAAGACAAGAAUUGACUCUGUAAGAAGAGGGCCAUCAAUGCAAUAUUUUCAAUACAUGAAGCACAAAUUACUGUUGCCAGUACGAACUUAUUUUAGCUAAUUCACUUAAAUAAUUAAACUGAUCUCAUCAUCAGAUUGUGCUGGCAAACUUCUCGGAAGUGAAUCAAUUCCUUGCUGUGGAGUUGAUGCUGUUAAAGAAGAUCUCAGUCGCUUAACCUCUUGCUUUUCAAGCUCAAGCACUCGCUCAAGCACUCUCUCUUUGCGCUCAUGCUCUCGCUUUUCACGCUCAAGAUCUCGCUCUGUAUCUGCCACCAUCUUUUCAAGUUCUUUCAACCUUUUCAAAAUAGCAACAUUGGUAACUCGACAUUAGUAAUUAACAAAUAAUUCAUUAAUCAAUGCAAAUGAUUCUUAUUUAAAAAUAGAAAUUAGAAGUGUCAUGAAUUUCAAUUUAAUUUCUCGCUUUAAUAAAUAUAGAGGUAAUUUGACUAAUUUUCUGAUACUAAUUGAUUAAAACUUGCUACCAAAUUAAGUACAAUCUUGCUUUCAAUGCAUGCGUGCUGUUCGAUGUAAGCAAGUUAAGAGCAACCUUGAUUAAGGAGUGAUUGUGCGUGCUAUAAUAGAUGUUUUUUAAAAUAUUUUUUAUUUGAAAAAUACAUUGAAAUUUUUUUUUAUUAUUAUUUUUGAUAUCAGUACAUUAAAAUGAUCUAGAAAUACAAAAAAAUUAUUUAAAGUAAAGAAAAAAAAUAAAAAAUUUAAUUUUUUUUUUUAAAAUAUUUUUAAAUAGCAAAAAUAAACGAGGUUUAAAUAAAAGAAUAUGUGGUGUAAAAACUUAUGUACAACACUAGAUAAAGAAAAUGUACGUAAGGUAUUUCUGAAAAUAAAACAACAACGUGAAUAUCAAAAAUAGCUUAUAAUAUUAAGAGUAUUAGUUAGAUAGACUAUUAAAGACAUUGAAUUUAGCGGAAGAGAAAGAGUGGCAAAGUGCAAAGCAUGGAAAAUUAACAGGUCAUUUGAAAAAAAAAAGAGAGAGAAAACCUCGUAGGAUAAUAUUAAAAAUUUAUACUAAAAAGACACAAGUGAUUUAUUGUGCAAAUGACACAUUGUUUUUACUCUUUUAUCUUUAUUCAAAAAAAUAUUAUGUUUGCAAUUAGAGGUACGUACAAUUAUCUUUUACCAAAAAAUGCAUUAGUUAUUAUUAAAUUUAUUAAGGAUAAAAUAAUCCAAACAUGUUUUUUUGCUACAGUAUCAUAACUGAUUUGCACUUGAAAACAGGAAAAAUAAGGCUUUGGGCAAGGGGCUCUUUAUCUUUUGCAAAAACAAAAACAAGGUUUUAAAGUAUUGAGAUGGAAGUGGAACAUACCUCAUCGGGACUCGACUCUGGCAUGGCUGCAAUACAUUCCACAUAAUUGUCUCUAGCCUUUGAAUAUUCUUCUUGCUCCUCCUUGUGAUAUUAAGAUAUUCAAGUAGUCAUCCGUUAAUAAAAACAAAUAUUUAAUAUUAAUCAUUUAUUCCAAAUUUGUUUUACAAACAAAGGCAUCAAUAUUAAAAAAUAUAUGAUUUGGCACUUGAUUUUUAUAUAUGAUUUGGUUUUUAUUUUUUUUAAUUGAAAUGUAUUUGGUCUUGAAUCAUUUAUUGAAUUAUUUUUUUUAUUUAAUACCUUUACACUUGAUUUUUUGUAUUAGAUUUUAUUUUCAUUCUUUUAAUUAUUGUGUGUUUGGUCUUGAAUCCUCGAUUAAAUUAAUUUAUCUUUAUAUUUCAUCCCUUGAUAUUUUUUUAUAUCAAAUAUGAUCUUCACUCUUUUUAUUGUUAAUUUUAGUUGUUCUUAUCCUUUUCUUUAUUGAAAUUGUUUCUCAAUUUCAUCCCUUAUAAUUUUCUUUUAUUUUUUGUGUCAAAUUUGGUUCAUUUUCUUUUCAAGUCUAUAUUUUUUAAACCACUUCUUUUUUUAAUUAUUUUUUUUAAGUUUAUUUCUAAUUAUUUUGGCUAGUUGGGGAUUUUGCAUUGUUAUUUUUUCGGAUUUGCUUUUUAUGUUGUAAUUUGCCCCUCAUAUUCCAUAUCACCAGUACUUAUUGUUGAAUCGAGUUGGCUUCAAUCAUUUAAAAAAGAAUAAAAAUUGCAUCCAUCAUCAUUAAAUUCGUUGGAAAUUAGUUUUCUUUUCUUUUUUAUUCUUUUGUGAAUAUGAUUUUUCAUUUCAAUUCAAUAUUUGAUGAUAUUUGAGAUUUGACAAUCAAUGUUUUGAUUUUUAAUUUUUUAUCUUUCACUUUUUUGAACAAGUUUUAAUUUUUAUUCAAUUUCAUCCUUAUAUCCAUAAUCUUGAUUUUUUUUAAGAUUUGGUCCUCAUUCUCUUGGUUUUUAUUUUUUUAUUUUGGAUUCAUUUGUUAUUUUUUUUUUUCAAUUUUGCCAUUCAAUUCAGAAUUUUUGUUUAUCCUUUUAGUUUUUUUUUUCUUUUCAAAUGAGGUACGUACUCUCUCAAAUGCUUUUUCUAAUCCUUUCAAUUUUUUAUUUCAUCAUUCGAAAAAUUUAUUUAUAGGGAUUUGGUCUCCUUGGUUUUUUCUAUUUUUUCUAUGCUACCCAGGAGUAAAUCUAGGACAAUUAUCAGGUCACAAGUCGAGUGAGUUAACUUGAAUGAACCCAAGUCAACCAAAUCUUUUUUGUGCUAUAAAAAAUUCAAAAUGAUACUAUUUUAAAUUAAAAAAAAAGGAAAAUAGUCAAUAGGUUUUGAUUUUAUUUUGAUUGGAUUUUCCACGAGUUAACUAAAACAUGGUUCAACCUAGGUUUUUGGUUGUCUUACAGUUGAUUAAUGUUCCAUAGGUUUAUGUUGAUGAUCAUUAUUUUUUUAUUUUCCUUUUCAAUCAGGUUUUUCAUAAGAGGUUUAUUUGAGUGACCCAAGUUUUUUCUAAUGUUGCUUUUUCAUCCUUUUUUAUUUUAUCCUUCAAAAUUCAAUUAUUUUUACAACAAAACUUUUUUUUUCUAGUUUUCUUUAUAUUGAGUUAUCAUAUCCAUUUGGUUCUACUUGUGGGUUUUGACAACCAAACUUGGUUUUGCUAAAAAAAAAAUUAAUAUUUUUUUUCAUUUGAUUUUAUCCUUUUAUAUUUUUAUUCUCAUUAUUAUUUUUAGCUCUUUUUCAAAGGUGUCGAGUCCUGGACUUUUUUUGGUUCUUUAAAAUCUAAUGACAGCACUUUGGAUAUUGUUUUUUUAUACUACAGAAAAAAUCAGCCCGGUCUACAACAAAGCGCCGGCCCACAGUAAAGCAUGUGCCAUCUGUCUGGUUUGUUACUAAAAAAAUUCAUUUUAUCAAGUAUAAAAAAUCAGCACUUGGAUAAUUGUACUGACUUGUAAAAGUUCUACCUUCCAUUAUUUGAAAGGAGAUAUGUAUGGGUGUACUUUGUUUUUCAUGGUAGGUAAUACAAUCAAACAAUUUGAAUAUAAAGAUAGGUAGAGUAUUAUAUAUCUGACCUAUUUAUUGGAUCUUCAUUUUCGAAUUUACAUUUAUAUUUAAUUAUUAUAUAUAUUAUUUAAGAAUAAUGUUGUGAGAUAAGUGUAAAGUAUUUUGAUUUUUUAUGGGCAAUAUAGACUUUUUUUAAUGAAAAUGUACCAUGCAUAACUUGUAUAGCUUAAACUUUUUCAAUAUUAUCCCUCUAGUUUUUAAAAUUACCAAUGUUACCCUAAUCGUUAAAAAGCUUACUGUUUAAAAUUGGUUUUUGAAUAUUGCUUUUUUGAAAUGUUUUUAAGUGUUUUUACGCAAAUAAUAACAUAUAUGGGAAUAUGUGAGAGGGAGUAAAAGAGAAAUGUAAGGAAAAUUGAAAGUUUUGAUAGUUAUUUAAAAAAAGAAAAAAAAUGGAAACUAUUUAAAAAAACUAUAUGGUAAUUUGAAAGGUUUUGAAGUAUUGAGAUGGAAGUGGAACAUACCUCAUCGGGACUCGAUCUUGACAUGUCUUCAAUACCUUUCAAAUAUUUGUCUUUAGCCUUGGGAUAUUCUUCUUUCUCCUCCUUUUUGUUUUCGUUGAAGAUUGCGGUGAAACAUCAAUCAAUUUAUUGUUAGAAAUUGGAGUUUAUCGGUUAAUAAAAGCAAAUAUCUAAUAUAAUUUAAACUUUUUCAAUAUUAUCCCUCUAGUUUUUAAAAUUACCAAUGUUACCCUAAUCAUUAAAAAGCUUACUGUUUAAAAUUGGUUUUUGAAUAUAUUUUUUUUGAAAUGUUUUUAAGUGUUUUUAUGCAAAUAAUAACAUCUAUGGGUAUAUGAGAGUGGGUAUAUGAGAGGGAGUAAAAGAGAAAUGUAAGGAAAAUUGAAAGUUUUGAUAGUUAUUUUAAAAAAAAAAUAGAAACUAUUUCAAAAAACUAUAGCGUAAAUUGGAAGUAGAACAUACCUCAUUGGGACUCCACCAUGACAUGACUCCUCGAAAAAAGUUUUGUGGAUCAUCUUUUAUUUCAUCCUCCUUUUUGUUUUCAUUGAAGAUUGCGGUGAAACAUCAAUUAAUUUAUUGUUAGAAAUUCGAGUAGUCAUCAGUUAAUAAAAACAAAUAUCUAAUAUUAAUAAUUUAUUCCAAAUUCUUUCUAGACAUCAAAAGCAAAUAUCUAAUAUUAACCAUCGUCCAACCGUUUUAAAUUAAAUAACAUCCAAUUAAAAUCACUUUAUUAAUAAUCUGAUUUGUUAUUUUAUUCUGGCGCCUAAACAAAUGUUGCCGGAAACAUAUAAUUACAAUUACUUAUGAAUUUCCAAAAUAAUGAAUUAAACAAACAUAUAUAAAUUGAAAUAAUUUGAUUUGUUAUUUUAUUCUGACGCUUAAAAAAAAUGCGGUAUCUAUCUACGUACUUGAGAAGGAUUUUUGGUAUACUUACCAACCAUGUCACUGUACCAGAUACAAUAUAUUCGUAUUGGUCGCUCAAGCCAAGAUGUAGCAUGAGAAGGGAGACAUGAGUGAGUAACUCUCCACCUCUUCUCAAUUGUUGAGUAUGUUCUUUCCAUGGACAAUAAGCUGCUGCAUACGCAACCAUUUCUACCCACACUUCCUCUAUCAUCCUCCAUCGCUUAUCAUCAGGUUCCAAUAAAAGCAAUUGCCUGGCGAGCACAUCCAUACCCCUUAACACUGACUUUUCACUUUUCCAGCCACUUUGAAAAAGUCUAUCAUUAUAAACACAUGAUUCAUUGUUGCGCAAUUCUUGCAAGGAACGUUGAUUUCCUUGAUUCCACAAUUCUCGCAAGGUACGUAUAUAUCCUGGAGCCCACAAUUCUCGCAAGGCAUGUAUAGAUUCUAUAGUACGUUCUCGCGAGACAAAUUCAUAUUUUGGACCCCGUAUUUCUCUCAAUUCUCGCAAGGUAUGUAGAUAUACCUCAUCACCGAAUCCUUUAGAGAGCAUAUUUGGUCUUAUCACCAAAAGAUAUAUCAUGUAUUCAGAUAGGCAUCUGCUUCUUUCAUAUUCUUUGGAGACAUUGCUUCCAUCAACAAUAAAACAAAUCUCUGUUGCGAGAUGCCAUACAAGAAUGCUCCGACUGAAUUCUACUUCAGUUGUGCACCACUUGUAGGACUGUAACAAUCCCUCUCUUUCUAGCACACCAUCUCCCCUCUGACCUAUUAUUUUUCUUCUGUGAUUCUUAUCAAAGAAAUUCAAAUCUUUCUUUAUCUUCUCAGCUUUCUUUCGAAGAUGUCCGAAAAUAAGAUCUUGUAGUUCACCAUUCAAAUCUUUCUGAUUCACAUUCAUCUGCCUCAUCAUUUCAUCGAUUCCCAGAAAUCCCAAACAUCUAUGUGGCUUGCUUUCAAAGGAAGAGCUUACCAGGUUGUACUGUGAUAUGGAUCUCGACCACCUCUCACUUCUAGUUAACUUCCUUAUCAGAGAAUAAAUUGCACCAGUCUGGGCGUUCCCUCCUUUAUAAAUCAACCAAAUCAUUGUCCAAUCAGACAAAACAAGGCAUAAAAAAGCAUAAAACUCAAGAAAAACAGCGGCCGCAAACAAUAAAUACGUAAUUGCAAUGUCGGUCGUUGAGUAGUCAUGCUUGUCAAUCUUGACCUGGAAGGUAAUAAACGCAGUAACAGAGAGCAGAGAGCUGAUACAGCGAAGAAUGAUUCCGGCACGGGAGUAAAUCAGAGGCGCUUUAGUAUAAAGCAUAUCAUAUAUCAAUCCAAGCUCAGCCUCUACCACCUUGAAGGCACCGUCUGCUUCAUUCUUGGAAAUAAGCUCCCGGCUUCUUAUUAGUGAAGGAAUGUCAGGGAUAAGAUCCUGCAUCACAAACAUGGAUAUAUUUGAAAAAACAUAAGCUUUAAGAAGAUAAUUUCGCUGGAGGUCUUGUUGAGGAGUUUUUGAUAUUCUCAAACGACGACAAGAACCCCAAAAAUCUGAGAGGGAAGAGUUUUUCAAACUCUUGGAGCAGGAAGACCACAGCACCCAAGUCCUCUCUGCGUACUUUACAACGCCAACAACGAACAUUGGGAUCGCUAUGAAUGUGAGGAUGCCGCUACCCCAAGACUUGGAGAAGACAUAAAAGGCCACUCCGACUUGGACUACAAGACCAAGUAAGUGUCGUUUCCACAACUCGUUAUCUUCAUUCGAGUAUGCAGUGAUUGUGUCUGGGCCACCAAGGUGCAGGAGUAGAAAAGGUGCCCAAAAUGCCUGGAUGGAAUUGUUUGCUUUCUCUGAACGGUCACCUGAUGAAUCUCCUUGGCUCCUGGCUAGAGUACCUAGUGCAACAGUUGCCACCAUGUCUGCUGAUAGAUAUGCAGACCAAACGAGAAUCCUGAUCAAGAUUCUGCAACUGGUCUUUCGCCGAGGACCAAAUACGAUGAGGAUGGUUUGUAGUAAGAGACUAAGCAAAACCAUUCCUCGAAUCUCCCAAUUGUUCCAUAAAUUUAAGACUUUUUCAGGCAAUUUUUUAAGCAUUGUCAUCUUUUCCUCAACUGUGGAAACUACUUCUCUCGAUGAACCCUUGAAAAAACUAUUUUGUAAGAUGGAAAAGUAAAUGUGGAUAUCUUUGAAAAAAUCUCUUAAAAAGAAUAGCGAAAGGGCUCUUAUGAGAAAAGAAUUCUGCAGUAGAUUUGGGUAAGGUAUCAUAAAAUAGGAUUUGCUGCAUAUUGUUGUUGCAGCAUGCAAAUAAAAAGGUAUGGGAUGCGUUACGAAUUAAUAUUUGGAAGUGAAUUCUGGGAUAUAUCUCCUUGAACUCAAAGCUUGCAUUACCAGCUUUUGCAACCCAAGUUACAUGUACAAGUAAGAAUCUGGUACUUGUCAUGGGUUCAAAGCAAAUAAGAGAUGCAAAAUAGUAAUAAAGAGAUGCUGCAAGAAUGAAGAGACUUUAAACUAGUCACUUUCCCCCCGUUUUCUUUUCUUGAUAGACUAUAUUAGACAUCGCUUUCUGGACACUCAAAGAAGGAAUUCGGAAUAUCAAUAUGAUAUUUGAGCACUAAACUUCCCUAAUUAUUUUUCGUUUAUGAGAAUUACAGAAAUGGCCUCCUUAAGUGGUCAUUCUUGUUUGUCUGCCUAAUUAAUUCGCAUGAGAUUAAUUCUUUAAUCAUGGAUGCAGGUACGUUUCUGACGUUGGGAAGGCAACGAGGUGAACUCAAAACAUUACGGACAAUUUCAACCCCUUGCCUCUCAAUAAUAAAAUACAAGCAUGUAAAUUUGCUGCGCCCCUCUAGCUGUUCUGGUUUUAGUUUUAGCAUACAAAAGGAGCUCGUAAAUGUUACCUGUAUAAGUUGUAGGAGAGCUUGUAAUAUUUUUAGCCAUAAACCGCUCGGAACCGAAGUGAGAGUAAAAUUAGCUUUGACUAAUUGCGAAGGAUCUAUAUCUCCGCUCGGAUUAGCAGAUGAUCUCGUGUGCCAAUAUUGCAUAAUCGAACUACUUAAGUUCCCAACGCUCUUAAACUUCAGCUUGGUCCAACAUGUCUUGUUAUUUUAUUAUCGUAUAGUCUUCAUUUCAUCACAAGAAACCGCUCUGGGAGUCGCUUAUUCCAGCAUGGACUCUACACUCACCCCCGGCGUAAGAACAUGCAAGUCUUGCGAUUUGAACAGCAUGCAAAAUCGUUCCUUUUUAUUUCAGCAUGUUUUCCACUACGACACUCGAUUCAACAUUUAUCGAUUAAUAUGGGUGUUCCAUAAUUAAAAAAUUCAAAGAUGCACUCGAAUUAAAUUAGGGAUCGAAUUAUUUUUCAAUUCGAUCCCUGAUUUUAAAAAAUUUUAAAUUUUAUCCUUCUCCAAAAUUAGAAAAAUAUUUUAAUGAAAAAAUCAUGUUUCCUUCAGAUUAACGAUAUCGUUUUCAUUGCAUAGAAUUUGCAUUCUUGAUGAAAUUCUUAGAAAAUGUUGAUGGAAGAACUCAAUUGUGAAGUUUUUAACCUUUGGAUAUCCAAUUUCUUAAAGAUAUAUUUAAUUAAUAUAUGGCUCAUAAUUUUGAUAUUUAUUUAGCCUUGUCCCUAUGAGUUGGCUUCCACAAUUCCAAAAUAAUAAUAAUAAUAAUAAUAAGAGAGUGUUGCUGGCAAGUAAAUUAAUUUAAUGAUGAUGUGGAUAAUUUAAAUAAACAAUGUUUAAAAGAGAGUUUUGCUAGCAUUGUUCUUGUCUUCAUACCAUCUUAAUUUUAAGAGAUUGAUUGGGUGAUUAAGGAGGUUUUUAUUAUUAUUUCAGAGCAUGUGACCAACUUUGCAAAUCAUUAUUAUGUAAGAUAGGGUAGUUGGCUAAGAUACGAAGCAAAUAAGAGCAUGUUGUAAGAAUAAAGAAACUUUAAAUUAGUUGCUUAUUCACUUCCUGAAGGACAGAGAUUGCCUUCUUUUUUGGGAAACUUUAGGGUGCACUGGCUUGGGUACCAAGCAAAGAAGAGAUGCUGAAUAGUAAAAAGAUGCAGCUAGCAAGAUUGAAUUGGCUAUCCCUUUUCUUGAUAGCGAAGUUUUCUUUUUUUUUGGACAUGAUUCUUGAUGGUAAUUUUGUGAGGUUUGGUUUUUUUUAGAGGAUUUUUUUAAAAAAGAUAUUUUAUUAGGAGGUUACUUUCAUGAGAGGAUUUAUUAAAUAUUACGCUAUUAUUAUUUUGGGUUAAAUGGUAUCAAGAAUUGGAAUCUAGUUCAAAAGAAUUUCCAAAAGACAAAGAUGCUCCAAUUCAAAGAACAUGCCACUUUUGAGCACAUUUGGCUUCUGAUCCAUUGCUUUCAAUGAAUUUAAGCUGUGUUUCAAAGCAAGAGUGAUAUUAGUGAAUCCCCAAGUCACUUGAAACAGAACACGGAACAGUUUCCAGACCAAAUUAACCAAGGUUUAAAAGCUUGGUCACAACAUGAGAUAAUUAUAUGCUAACAAUGAAGUUUCUUCACCUAUGGUAGAUUACUACUAAUAGCCACUCCCUUAAACUUGUAGAAUGAAUAUUUUAAUCAGAUACAUUAAAAGCAAAAUCAUGAUUUACACUUUCUAUGAAAUAGCCACCUUGAUUAAACCAGCUUUCUUGGCAGGGCUAAGGGGCAGGCUGCUAAAAAUUUAAUCAAGAUGCAUCAAGUUAAAGCUGCUACCAAGGUUUCAGGUCACCGACUGGGCCUGCAGUCUAGUUUAAGAUCUUCUCACCUAACUUGAGGUAAACACUAGUAUCAUGAGGCAAUUUUCGAGCAAGUCCAUUCAAAACUUGAUGGAAAGCAUCUCUUGCUUGAACAGGUUGUGGGAAUAGCACUGCCUGCUUCAUUGAAGGUGUUGAAAGAAUGUCUUAGAAAGCUGUAGAAGACCAGAAAGCUUUGUUGUUGCUUGUUCAGGGGAUUUCAUCAAUGAAGAUCUCUACUUGAAGACCAAGAUUUUAGGAAUAAAACUUCUGAUUACAUUUAAUUUGUUUGUUAUGCAUUUUUAAAAUUUUAAAUAGCCUUUGUUUCUAAGUAAGACUCUAUCUCUAUUUAAGAAUAUUUUGAAAUCAAUAAUAUCAUCUUCUUCCAAUUGUCUCGCUUUCUUUGGAAGAGCUUAUCAGGUUGUGUUGUGAUAUGGAUCUCGACCACCUCUUGCUUCUAGUUAACUUCCUUAUCAGAGAAUAAGUUGCAUUACUCAGGCCGUUCCCUUCUUCAUCAAUCAACCAAAUCAUUGUCCAGUCCGACAAAACAAGGCAUAAAAAAGCAUAAAACUCGAGAAAAACAGCGGCUGCAAACAAUAAAUACGUGAUUGCAAUGUCGGUCGUUGAGUAGGCAUGCUUGUCAAUCUUGAACUGGAAGGUAAUAAACGCAGUAACAAAGAGCAGAGAGCUGAUACAACGAAGAAUGACUCCGGCACGGGAGUAAAUCAGAGGCGCUUUAGUAUAAAGCAUAUCAUAUAUCAAUCCAAGCUCAGCCUCUACCACCUUGAAGGCACCGUCUGCUGAAUAUUUGGAAAUCAGCUCUCGGCUUCUUAUUAGUUCACGAAUGCCAGGGACAAGAUCCUGCAUCAUGAACUUGGAUAUAUAAGAAAAACCAUUAGCUUGAAGAAGAUAAUCUCGCUGGAGGUCUUGUGGACAAGUUUCUGAUAUUCUCGUACGAUCAAAAGAACGCCAAAAAUCUGAGAGGAGAGUUUUUCAAACUCUUGGAGCAUGAAGACCAGAGCACCCAAGUCCUCUCUGCGUACUUUGCAAUGCCAACAACGAACAUUGGGAUCGCUAUGAAUGUGAGGAUACCGCUACCCAAGGACCUUGAGAAGACAUAAAAAGCCACCCCGACUUGGACUACAAGAAUAUUUUAAUAUUUGUUAUUUAAAACUAUGAAUCCUUCUGUUUCAGGAACCAGCAUCAGGACAUGUUAUAAUGUGUUAUUAUUAUGAGGGUCCUAGAAUAUUUUAAUCUGAUUGACUCAAUUGAAUUCCCAUGAAGUUGCAGAAUUGAGCAAAUCAAAUAUCACUUGUGGCUUAGAAAAUACAAACUAUUUAGUUUUUGCAAUUAUUCUCAUAUUAGCUGUGUUUGUCAUGAUGGCAGUUGAAAUGGGCCGACGAUACUUCCCCAAUUGCUCCCAAGUGCUCGAUAAGUUCAUGGAGGAUGACCUUCCUGAUUUGUUUUACCUUGAAAAGGGCACCCUAGAUGAACAAAGAAUCAAGAAGACACGUUUCAUGGAGCUUAAAGAGGAUGUUCAGGGGGCAUUUAUCAAGGACAAGGCUGAGAUUAACCAAAAAACAAAAAACUAUGAAUAUUGUGCUUUGUCUUGGAAAAACAAAAAACUAUGAAUGUUGAGUUUCGGUCCACGGCAAACAAGGGACGAACACACUGUUUCAUCCCAUUCAUACAGGACAGGACGACCGUGAGUAUCUAUGCAACCAAAUCAUCUGCUGAACGUCAAGUCAAUGGUUCAAACUCCAAUGGUGGCUUUAGCGCAAACCAGCCAGUUCCAAAAACUCCAUUAACCUUUCGAGCUAUUAUUGCGGAGGUGUAAAAUGGAUUGACAGGCCCAUGGGCAGAACAAGCUUCCAAAUAUGGGCAGCGCCUGGCAUCGUCAAAAAGUUCUUAAAAGGCUGGGCUACUGCUUGAUGGUAUGAGUGUUUAAAAGUGGGGUAGAUGUUACUUUAUAAAAUGUUUUUUAUUUUAGAAAAUAUUAAAAUAAUUUUUUUAUAUAUAUAUAAAUACAUAAAAAUAAUCUAAAAACAUAAAAAAUAUAUUAAUUUUAAGUAAAAAUAAAAUUAAUUUUUUUAAAAAGUAUUUCCAAAACGUAAUAUCAAACAUUGCCUUAAACGAUCUAACACGUCACAUGACUUGUGCUUUGCUAUGGGUUAAAUUUUUUUAUUUUUCAUAAAAUUAUUUAUGUAGAUUUAUUUUUCAAUGUAUUUUGAUUGUUAAAAAAAUAUAACAGAUCAAAAAAUUUAUGUAUUUAUAUAAUUAAAUAAACUAAGAAUGAUGUAUGUUAAUAAAUCAAUAAAAAAUUAUUAACAACACUUAAAAAUAAAUUUUAAAAAUCUAAAGACAAAUGUAAAUCAAGAUAUUAAAUCUUGAAAAAUAUAAUAUUAAAUUGAUUGAAUAAAAAAAAUUAUAAGUGUUAAGAAAAUCAUUUAAAAAUAAAUAUAUUUUAUUAAAGACAAACUAUAAAUAAAUUAGGAAAAUCACUUCGAAAAUAACACCUCGCAGAUGGACCGAGCGUGUUUGGAGUGUGGUUGUUGUUGUUUUUUAAAAUAUUUUUUACUUAGAAAAGCAUGCUAAAAAUAUUUUUUUAUUUUUUAAAUUUUAUUUUUGACAUCAGCAUAUUAAAAUAAUUAAAAAACAUCAAAAAUAUAUUAAUUUAAAAUAAAAAAAUAUUUAAUUUUUUAAAAUAUAUUUUUUCACCGCCACAAUGAUAAACACACUCUAAUUAACUACCGACAGUCGCACUGCUACAGUUGUAAAAUUCCAGCCGCCCUCGAUAACAGUGUAUCAGUCAAACCUUAUCCUUGGUCUCUUGUCAGCGUAAGCAUUCAACAUAGAUGGCUGAUUUAAUUAAAAAAAAAAGGGAUAGAUGAAGGAUUUUUCUAAAAAAAUAUUUUUUAUGUUUUAGAAUAUUUUUUUAUUCAUAAUUGUUUAAAACAAGAGUAAAGAAUUUGGGAUAAUAAUACAUGUUAAAAAAAUAUCUAUAAAAUAGCAUAGUUUUAUGUCUUAGAUUUUUUUUAUUCAUAAUUGUUAUUUAGAAUAAUAAUUGCAUUUCAAAAUAUAUUUAUUUAAUAUAUAUUUUUUAAUAAAUAUAUUUUUUAAAUUAAUUAACCUAUACACAAAUCAAUUAGAACUUUUAUAAAAUUUAAAGAUUAAAAGAUAAGAUUCAAAAUACAAAACUUUUAAUUAAAGCUUGUGUUUAAGUACUAUUCUUAAUAACAAUCGUAUUCAAACUAUAUUAUUUUAUUAAUACUUUUUUAAUAUUUUUUAAUAUUACGAAACUCUAAAAUAUCUAACACGGCAUCUAUAAAAAAGAAAUGAGGGGAAGGGGGUCACAAAGCAAACAUAGAGAGAAGAGAGAGAGAGAGAUUGAGGACAAUGAUGAGGAAAAUAUUGGUUGCAGUGUUGAUUGUGAGCAUGGUCGCUUCUCAUUUUGAGAACGUAGCGUCUGAUGCUUCUGAUUGCGAUGACGCAUGUACCACCGGCUGCGUUCAAUCAAACACAAGACUUUUGCUCCGCUGUAAUAUCAAAUGUGGGAUAAGAUGCGGUCCGGAUUCUGAAGUCGAAGAUCACACGGGUUAAAGAACUUGAGAGUCUCAAAGAUGAAUGCUACCUGGAAUCUAUUUAUGGAAUAAUUUGCAGCAACUCUUUUGACUGUUUUAAUUUCUGUCAAAUUUUCAGUGUUGAUAGUCUUUGUAUUAGAAAUAGGAAGGGAAGGGGGGGAUUAGGGCUAUCCAAUCUCAAAUUUGAAUAAAGAAAGGAGAGAAUCACUUCUGAAACUUCAGUUGCUGUAAGAAAAAAUUGUAGCCUUUUGUUCUUGAAACUUGAUGAUCAUCAUUUUAGACACAGAAAAACACAGAUUCAUCUAUCAAGCUAUAAGGCACCAGUAAAGUACACACUGCAAUCUGCAUCGUGGAACAAGCAAUUAAAGGAAAUCAUGAUAAACGAAGUGGAAGAGGAGAGAGGCCAUAUUGUCAUCUUCUGGAACGAAGAACCAGAAGAAAUUCCUCAGAAUCCUAAAACAUCAAAACAGCAAAUAAACUCCAUAAAUAAAAUGGAUUUUUAAUGGAGGAGACAAUUUCAUUAGCCAGUUAAACUCAGGCUGGCCACUAAUGCGUGCACAGCAGAAGACCACAUACUAGUGCAUGCAAUAAUUAAUGUCUGCCAUCUCAGAUCUGCCUUUUUCUGCUUUCAGCAACCCUGCGUUUAGCAAAUCAUGGUGGGUCCAUGAAUAAUAAAUAGUAUUAUUGGAAAUUUAGAAUAAAUUUAGAAUGCAGCCAAUAUUGUUUUUUUUUUAAAAAAUUUAGAAAUUGUAUUGUAAAUAAAGCCCAUCAUCCUUGAACCAAGGUUGUCAAUUUCGUUCCGUUUUAUCUGGAAUGACCGAAACAUUUCAUACCAAUUCAAAAAACGAAAUAAAACGGAACAAAUUUCAUCUCAUUUUAAAUCUCGGCCCGUUCCGGAUUUUUCGGUCAAAUUCCGGCCGAAACGUUCCGGUUUCAUUCCACAUGUUCCGUUUCGGCCAAAAAACCAUUGAAUCAAAUUGAACCUUGCUCAAUUUCAUUAAUUAAACCACCCGAUUAUAAAAAGCUUUUUUUAUUAUUAUUUUCAAUAGCAAUGAUAUUAAUAAUAAUAUUGAAAUUUAUUAUUACUAUUUUCAUUAACAAUGAUAUUAAUUUUUUAAAAUUAGUUUUAUCACUAAUAUAUAUGGUUUAUAUUACUUUAAGUUAAAGAUCUAUUUAAUCUUUUACUAUUUAAAAAUAUUUUAAAUUUUAAAAUUAUAUUUGUUUGGCAUUACGUUUGUAUUGCAUAAUUUAUAAUUAAUUUAUCUUGAAUUUGAAUUAUGUUUGUGGAAUAUAUAUAUAUGAACAGUACAACCCCGAAACGACACGCCGAAACACUCCGAAACUGAAACAUUUCGUUUCAAUUGAAAAAACAAAACACUUAUCGAAACGGAAUUGACAACCUUGCCUUGAACGAAACACAUUAUCCCACACCAAAACAAAUGAAGUUGUAAGAAUGUUGAUAACACAUUAUCGAUCCCACACAGAACACAUUCGUUGUGUUUGGUGAAUAUAUUUUUAAGAUAUCAUUUGAUUAUAGUGAUUAAAACUAAUCCUUUAAAUUUCUCUUUUUAAUUUCAUUCAACAGAUAUGAAUUGCUAUUUUUUUUUUUGUAUAUAUCACUUUAUAUAUAUAUUAUUUUUAUUGAUCCGAUAUCAUGUAAUUUUUUCUAUACUAAUUGAAUCUUAUUUUCCUUAUUAUUUUAUUAUCUAAAAAAAAUUUAGAAGUUCAUUUCUAAAAAAUUAAAUUGAAAAAAUUCUAUUUGCUCAAAAAAUUUUGUUAUUUUUUUUUAUCUAAAAAAUCGAAGUUAUACGUAUAAAAACAAAAGGCAGAAACACAUUGUAUCGAUUAUUUGUUUUUUGUAGGACUUGAAGCAAACAGAAACACAGUGUCCCACAUCGAGCAAUAACUGUGAAGCAUCUUCUUGAAAGAAUGUUGGAAUCCAACGAGAUGCUCGUUCAAACAUUGCUCAUUCUUUUCUUUAUUCAUCAGGACUUGAGCGAAACGGUGAGCUAAGCUUUUUUCUCGGACAAAAAUACCCUUGAACAAAGAGGUAAAUAUUGUCCCACAUCGAAGCAAGAGAGAUAUCUCACGAAGGCAGUAAAUAUUUUUUUAUCUUUUUUUUAACGACAGAUGAAUCAUGACCGUGUGAUCAUAGCUUGCUAGACAGUAACUAUGGAGGAUCGUUUCUUAACCAUGGAUGGUCCUGCGGUUGUCUGACAGGCCACCGCUCCCACGAAGCCUAUUAUUAGAGCUACAACGGCAACUCCCAAAGUCCCAAGUUCUCCUUCCUGUAUUUUUUCCCCUGUAGUUUCAGUUCACAGCAAGAUAGCUUCUGUAGCGAUUGGCUUCCUGUUACACCAUGAGCACUCCCAAGCAAACGUAGUUGUUCAUGGCGGUCAUUUCACUUCUCUUCGAUACUUAUCGGUUAUUCUCUUCGAUGCCAUUGAUACCAGAAUCUACGUUGACUGGGCCUUAGAGAACCGAUUCCAAGUUGGUGAUACAGCUCGUGAUCAGUUCAAACACAAAGAAAUACGAGAUCUGCCUUUAGCUUCAAUUUCCUGGGUGUUCAUCAUCUUUUUUUGCGAAGGUUUCAAGCACAGGAAGGAUUCCGUGAUGAAGGUCAGGGUAGAGGAUUACAAGAAGUGCAACUCCCGUCACCCCAACUUCUUUUCCAACACUGUUCACUAUCUUAAUCAUCCAGCGUCUUCCUACUUCAUAAGUGGGGUUUCUGGACACUGCGAGAAGGGACAAAGGAUGAUCAUCAUUAAGGUUAUCUCAACUGAUCAAGAGACUAAUUCAAAUCUGCAGCUUUUCCUUCUGCAGGAGUGCUAGUCUUUCGGUGCCUGGAAAGUGCUCUUAUCUCAGCUUGUUUCAUUCUAACAAAAUACCACCGCUAAAGCACCGCAGCCGCUCAGGGUCUUCCUCAUACUUUCAUAUUACUCUCCCCUUGGACACUGCCGGGGCUCGAAGCAAAAAGACGGACAGAGAUAAAAACACCUAGGACCAGAUUUGUACCACAUCGGAAAAGAGUGAAGAACCAAUCGAGUUAAUAAAUUGUUCGAGGAGCCCGUAACAGCACGACCUUACUUGAACAGGAUCUGUUCUAUAGGAUCAUACCUCUGCAUCUUUAAUAACUAAGGAGACGGGAACCUAAACCUGGUUUGAGGAAUUCAUGACUGUAUGAUCAUAGCGUGAGUAAUGGCUUGAUGGCUCUCGUGAUUAUCAUGGCUGUAGAGGAUCGUUUCCCAGCCAUUCACUUUGUUGUGUUGGGAAUAUGGUCAUGCGGUUGUCUGACAGAUUUCUUUAUUUUUGAAAAAUCACGUACGUGGUAAAAAAUAUGCAUAUAAGUUAGGUUGAUUCCCCCUCCCUCCAUCUUUCCCGACCUUCAACAAAAUCUUAUUCCAUGGCAACCUGAUUUUAUUAAUCUAUUUUACUACAGGGCACUAUAUUAGUAUAUUUGUUAUCGUAAAAUCUAGCAUCAUCCUAAAAAUUGAUUUUAUUUGUCUUUUCCUUUUCUAGUCAACUCGAGUUUCUUAAUACAUUUUAUAAUAGCCUCUUCCUCCGAGUGUUUUAAUCAAUAAAAAUGUUGGAAUUUUGAUUUUCUUUUAAUUUUAUACUUCAUAUGCUUUAAGUUGAUUGGUGUAUUCCACUUUCUUCCUAGGUCAAAUUAUUAUAACAAAACCGAGAGGAAAAAAACGAAAUGGAGUGUCAUGGAUAUAUGUCAUGUAGGUAUCUAUAUUAAUUAUAGAUAUUCGCUCUUUAAAAAUACUAUAUCUCUUAAUAUCUCAAAAAUUAAAGUAAAAUGUAUGAAUUAUCAAUCAAUUUUUCUCAUAUUUACCAUGACAACCAACACUAUGUAGUUUCUCUCUAGAAUCAACAUAAUUUUGUGUAUGUUAAGAUAAUUUAAAUUAUCACAUUACUUGAUUUAGACAAUAUAUUUCAAUAAUAUCAUAGAGGGACUUGUUCUAAUCAAAUGUUAGAUCUCUCAUAGUAUAUAGACGAAACUGAAAGUAUCAAUUCUUUUAUAUAUGACAUCUAUAUAACCUAUUAGAACAUAUAAAAUAAUUAUCUCAAAUAAUUAAUUAAAAUUAAAUAAUUAACUUUAAAAUAAUAAGAAAAUUAAAUAUAUUUUUAAUAUAUAUCUAAUGUGACUGUUGCGUACUCAAAUCAUCUUGAUAAAACUCACAGACAUGAGUAAAAUUUAGCUAUAUCAUCUGACAAGACAAGCUACAAAGUUAGUUGUAUAUUUUUUUACAUUCAAUUUAUAUAAAUAACAUGUUAAUUAUAUAAUCAAUUAAAAAAAUAAUUCGGGUUGACAUAUUUAACCUAUAAAAUUUGUUAUUCAGAUUAUGACAACUACAUACAGAAUAAAUUAAAAAUGAUAAAGUAUAAUGUCCCAGCAAACUGAAUAUUGAAAAAAAAAAGUUUGAAAUUAAAAAGGUUAAAAAGCCCCUAAAAAUAUUAAAGAACAACAAUAAUAAUAAUAAAAAAAAAGUCAUCAAUAACAAUUAAUGAUCAGUCUCUCUGUUAUAUGUAUAUAUGUAUAUGUAUAUGUUAGCAAAAAAUAGAUCGAAAGAGCACCCAUCUCCCUCGAAUCUCUGACAAGGCAGUAUUAAAUAUUAAUUGCCAUGUAUAGCAUUAAAAAGGUAAGUAGAACUAUGUUAAUUAACAUGAUAACCGUUCGUAAGUUGGGCAUUUGGUCUAGUGGUAUGAUUCUCGCUUUGGGUGCGAGAGGUCCCGAGUUCGAUUCUCGGAAUGCCCCAUCUUCAACGUAGGAGUUUUACCUCGUAUGUUCUGAUAUUUCUGGUUUUGCCGACAAGAUUCUAUGAAAAUAUCUUAUCUUUUUGCAAAAAGGAAAAGCAGUGGACAAGAUAGAAAGAUUCCCGCAUCAAGAAAUAUGAGUGGAAAAUAUUAUUAACAACCUGCACUCAGGCCAACAAGGUGAGUUUACAACAUUCAUGGUGACCAGAAGCUACCACACCACUAGACAGCGCCAUACAUCAAAAACUUCAAACAAUUACAAAACCAAACACAUUUUUGACAGCAAACCUACUUAGAUGAAAACAUUUGCAAGUGCUCUUCGCAACAAACCCCAAUGAAUCGAUGAGCAUAUAUAUAUAUAUAUGGUGGUGGAAUUAAUCAGGAAGACCAAGCUGGGAUCAUAUCUGUGUGUAGCUUCUUUCACCUCGUAAAAGAAGAGCUGUUUUAGAUAACUGGUGGCUUUAAUACAAACAACCACUGCACAAGACAACUACGUAGUACGUACAUUAGAUAAGAAAAAAAAACACAUUAUAUAGGUUCUCCUCGUUAUCAUUCAAGUUCAAAUUCAAUUACAAUUUAAUUACAAAUCUCUAAAUUUUUUUUUUACAUUCAAUUUAUAUAAAUAACACAUGACUUCUUGUAUCAAUCAAUUAUAUCUUAUUAUUAUUACUUCUUGUAACUCAAAAGACCGGUCAAUUAUAUAUUUCUUUUUAAUUACAAGUGUCUCAACAUCACCACAUCAUGUAGUGUUGGUAUCAUCUCACCAAUAUAUCGAUGAAAAAUGUGUCUCUCUUCUCCAACUCUCUACCAAUAUUGCAAUCAAUGCAUUGUCAAGAUUUAUGAGGCACAACUAAAUGAUCUCAUGAACACCAACCUCGAUAACAUACGGACGCACUCACUCAAGCAACUCUAUCAAGGUAUGUUGUUUAGGUAUUACUAGAUAACCAUCCUAAAAAUCAAACAACUUAGUUAAAUCAUUAAUAAAUAUAGUUAAAAUUGUAAUAAUUAACAUAUAUAUAUAUAACAUUGACCUAUCAUCAAGACCCACAUCAACAAUAAAAUGGUUCUGCUUGUCGACACUCCUAAAAUAGGUUGAACCUCCUUUAGUCUGAAUCAUGUCUACCUCGAGGUUCUAUAUAAAAAAAUAUUGUUAACAUUUAUAAUUUAAUUAAAGUUGAUAUAAUUUAAAAUAAAUAUAAAAAAAUAAUAUAUAUUAUCUAGUUUCACAAGUUUUUUUAUUAUGACCCAUUUGAUCACAUAUAUCACUUCUAUUUAAUGAAUACCCCUCUCUAGCAUCCAUUUCAUUAUGUAAACAAGUGGAUUUUCUUCGAUUCUUAUUAAACAAAUUCAAGUAUUACAUAGCUAGUAUUAUUAUUUUAUAUAAAAUUCAAUAUAACUCAUAAUUUAACCUAAAUCAACACUAUCUCAUUACAUAAUCUUUUUAAUUCAUAAUUAACAAUAACAAAAAAAACUAUUUAUUUAAUAAAAUAAUCAAACCAUCAACUAAAAAUAUAUCUAAUUAAUAUAAUUCAUAAUUUAACCUAAAUCAACACUAACAUUUCAAACAUAUAACUUUAUUCAUUUACAAUCAACAACAACCUAAAAUAAUUAAACAAAAUAACAUAAUAAUAUCUAAUUUACAACUUCAAUUACAUCUAAUUAACCUAAUUUAAAACCCUAACACUCCAUAAAAUCCAAUUAACACUAAUUAAAUAUCAAUUAUAUCAAAUUAAUUAAAAUCAAGAAAUUAAUAUAUUUUUAGAAGUGAAAUGUGGAUGGCCGCAGCUAUGACUUGUUUGGUCAGAAAAUCUAACAUUAUUGCUGGUAGAGGAAAAAAGCUUAACUGUCGCGAGUUUUGCUACAGAGCAAGAGGAGUGUUCGAUCGAUCGAGAGAGGCAGGCUGUUAGAGAAUGUUUUUGGUGGAGAAAAGAGAAAUCUUAGGUGAUGUCCUCUACAACUCACUAGUGUUAUUUUUUUUUUUAUUGCAUUCAAAAAUAAAGAAACCUGUCAGACAACCGCAUGACCAUUCCCAGCCAUUAAACGAUCCUCUACAGCCAUGAUGUUCAUGAAGGCCUUCAAGCCAUUAUUCACGCUAUGAUCACACGGUCAUGAUUCCUCAACCAGGUUUAAGUUCCUGUCUCCUUAGUGAUUAAGGAUACAGAGGUACGAUCCUAUAGAACAGAUCCUGUUCAAGUAAGGUCGUGUUGUUCUGUGCUCCUCGAACAGUUUAUUAACUCUCUUGUUUUUUCGUUCUUUCUGAUGUGGGACAAAUCUAGUUCUAUUUUGUUCAAGGGUGUUUUUGUCUAAAGAAAACGCUUUGUCCGUCUUUUUGCUUCUUGCGAGCCCGCGGCCCGGUAAUAUCCAAGGGGAGAGUAGUGAUAUGAAAGUACGAGGAUGACCCUCAGCUACUGCGGCGCUGCCUUUGUGGUGGUAUUUUAGAAUCCCGACCGGGGACUAUCUGUUACUGUUUUGGAGAAAACAGCGUUCUUGCUGAGGGUGGAGCACGUUGAAAACUCAGAUGAGAUGACAAGAUUUCUAAAAAACGUUUCGAGGUAGAGGAAUCAAUUACAAGAGAGGAUGGGUUGCCUGGUACAAACUGGUUUGGACUACAAUGUUGUCUCCAGCUUCAUUAAACAAGUUCCAAUGGUGCCAAAAACCAGACCAAAGAUGCACUUGAAAAGAAGAUUGAUUGCAUGACAAAUUUCCUAGGCUACUCGGUCAACUCACUGGAGGAAUUCCCAGCAUAUUUAUGCUAUGAUUUUGAGAGGGUUAAACUUAGAUUUCGAAUGUAUAUUCGGCUGAGGGAAAAAGGUGCAGCAAAACGCAAAGUAUCGAUGGGCACAAUCCUUGCAUGUUCAUGUGCAAUUUGUAAAAUAUUAUGUAGAUGUCCACCCUGAACGACCAGCUAUGUGGGAAAGUUUAAGGAAUGCAUCAGCUUCAAGCCAAGGCUAGUUCUGCAUUUAAAUUGUGCACAGUUUAUAUGUAUUGUUUCAGUCAAGUUGAUGCCAUCCAUUCAUUACCCAAGGAUCUAAUCGCUGAGCGUUUUUUCUGUUUGCUGUCGUUUUUAACAAUUUAUUUAUGAAUCAUCCAUCUCAUGUUCUCUGUUGCUCACAAUACGAUGCUGCUGCUUGUUCUUCAACUUGCAGAUCUGAGAUGGCAGGCAUUAAUUAUUGCUGUUUGAUGUUUUAGGAUUCUGAGGAACUUCUUCGUUCCAGACGAUGGCAAUACGGCCUCUCUCCUCUUCCACUUCGUUUAUCAUGAUUUCCUUUAAUUGCUUGUUCCACGAUGCAGAUUGCAGAGGUACUUUACUGGUGCCUUCUAGCUUGAUAGAUGAAUCUGUGUUUUUCUGUGUCUACAAUGAUGAUUAUCAAGUUUCAAGAGCGAACGGCUACAGUUUUCUUACAGCAACUGGAGUUUCAAAAGUGAUUCUCUCCUUUCUUUAUUCAAACUUGAGAUUAUUUCUAAUACAAAGAGUAUCAACACUGAAAAUUUGACAGAAAAUAAAAACAGUCAAAAGAGUUGCUGCAAAUUAUUCCAUAAAUAGAUUCCAGGUAGCAUUCAUCUUUGAGACUCCCAAGUUCUUUAACCUGUGUGAUCUUCGACUUCAGAAUCUGGACCGCAUCUUAUCCCACAUUUGAUCUCACAGCGGCGCAUAAGUCUUGUGUUUGAUUGAACGCAGCCGGUGGUACAUGCGUCAUCGCAAUCAGAAGCAUCAGACGCUACGUUCUCAAAAUGAGAAGCGACCAUGCUCACAAUCAACACAGCAACCAAUAUUUUCCUCAUCAUUGUCCUUAGCUCAAUCUCUCUCUCUCUCUCUCUCUCUCUAUAUGUUUGCUUUGUGACCCCCCUCCCCGCAUUUCUUUUUUAUACAUGUCGUGUUAGAUAUUUUAGAGUUUCGUAAGAUUAAAAAAAGUAUUAAAUUGUGUACAGUUUAUAUUGUAUUGUUUCAGUCAAAUUGAAGCCAUCCAUUCAUUACCCACGGAUCUAAUCGCUGAACGUUUUUAUGUUUGCUGUAGUUCUUAACAAAUUUCUCUAUGAAUCAUCCAUCUCGUGUUCUCUGUUGCUCACAAUACCAUGUUGCUUCUUGUUGUCCAACUUGCAGAUCUGAGAUGGCUAGCCAUUAAUUAAUGCAUGCACUAGUAUGUCCAACUUGCAGAUCUGAGAUGACAAAACCUGAUUUUUUUUUUCAAAUCAGCCGUCUAUAUUGAAUGCUUUCGCCGACGAGAGACCAAGGAUAAGGUUUUGUCUAAUACACGGUUGUCGAGGGCUGCUGGUGUUACACCUGUAGCAGUGCAAGUGUCUGUGGUCAAUUCCAUCUUGGAGGUGUAACGUGGUUGUGCUAAGCGCUAACCCUAUCCAUGUUUCGUGUUUGCUCUCUUACUAUCGAGCAGUAGCCCAGCCUGGUAAGAACUUUUUGACCAUGCCAGGCGGUGCCCAUAUUUCCAAGACAAAGCACAAUAUUCAUAGUUGAUGAGCAAAAGGUUCGUGCUCCUUAUUAAAAGAAAAAUAAAUAAAUUUAAAGAGUGUGCUCCUUAAUUAUAUCUUAGUCAAUGCCAUGAUUCCUCUCCUUAUCUUGCCAUGACUGCAUGGUCCAUUGUUCUUGCUUCACUCCACAAUUAGUGGGCAUCCUGCUCUCCAAGAAAUUUAUUUACUCACAUAUCGAAUAUUUUCACUUUAAUGGAAUCUAUGGGUUCUAAACAAGCGUUUAGUACAAACAAAGAAGAGAAUGGUUGAAGAAGAAACAGUCCCACAGAGCUGAAAGUGCAUAAGAAAAAUGUACUGGCUUCAGCAAAAAAACUAGUAAUUUAAUCCAAAAUUAUCAUGUGCAGAACAAUAUACCUUUGUUCUCCAGGUAUAGCAGCUUCCUGUGAAGAUCAUCAUCCAUUGUAUGGGAAGUGAUGGACGCACUCCACGCCAUUGGAUUCCUUCUCAUUUCCCUCUCUAAGAUACCAAUGCAGAACCUGUCAUUGUUCGCUUCCUUAUAAGCUAGCUUGAAUAGAUUCUUGUAAUUUUAUAUUUUAUAUUUUGCUAAUUAAAAUUUUUGUAUUUCAAUUUUCAAUCUCUAAAAAUUAAAAUAGGUUUCGGAUUUGAUUCAUUUUUAAGUUGUUUUUAUUGAAUUUUAAGGUUCAGGUUGGGUUCUAAGAGUCUUUUGAAAGGAUUUUGAGGCAUUUGAGAUGAAAAAUAAUGAAAGAAAAUGAGCCUUUUUUUUUUUUUUUGUAAAAAAAAAAUAGAGCAAUUCCUAAUUUUUCAGCGGCUUUAAAGUCAUCAAAAUUGUGAUAGUGGAUGAUCCGUUGGCGGAAAAAAAAACAUGCACUUAUGGGCUAACUCGAUGGCCUAGGCGUUUCAUCACCGGGGCCUAGCAUGUAUGUCCCCAUUUUUCUUUUUAAUUCUCCAAAAUUAAUUUAUAUUUUUAUAAAAUAUUUUUUUCAAAUAUAUUUUAGAUGAUUUUGAUGUUUAGAAUUAUUUAUAAUCUUUUAAAUACUUAUGGUGACAAAACGGUUAACGUAAGACUGGAAUUUAUUUUAUAAAUAAUUAUAUAAUUAUUAUAGCUUCAAAAAUCUUUAUAGUGAAUCGAAUAUAGUCCUCCAAUAUUUACUUGAAUCUUACAAUUUAAUUAAAUAUUGUAAGAUGUUAAAGUUAAUACAAGGAUACUUAUAGUCCGUUUGCUUUUAUAUAAUAAAAGUAUUUUUUUAAUUAAUUUUUUUAGUGUUUUUAAAUUAUUUUGAUGUUCUAAUAUUAAAAAUAUUUUUUUAAAAAAAUAUAUAUUAUCUCAAUAUUUUUUUUUUAAAAAAAUUAUUUAAAAAUAAUCAUUACCAUAAUACCAACAUCAGAUAUAUUUUAAAAUUUUUAUAUCAUUUACAGAGUCUUUCCUGAUAUUUAUUUUAAUUAUUAUAAAAUUAAAAAAAUAAUAAGUUAAAAAACCAGUAGCAAGUUAGCAAACAGCAAGCAAGCUAUCUAGUAAAAAAAAAGAGUAUCAGCUUAACAUUGGCACCUUUCACAAUAGCUGACAUGUCGUUCAUUAAUUGUUGGGUGUCGUCAAUACCAGCACUGAACCUAGAUGAUAGGACCACCUAUGGCAAACCAAACAGGCAAUGGAGGCAGUGUUUUUUCUGUGGGUUUAGGUUGCUUUUAAAAAUAUUUUUUAAAAACUAUUUUAUACUAGAAAAAUAAUUAAAUUGAUAUUUUAAAAAAUAUAUUUUUUUAUGAUUUUUAUGUGUUGAAGAUAAAAAUAAUAAUAAAAUUUUUUAUGUAUUUUUCAAUUGAAAAGCAAUUUCAUAAAAGUUUCAUUUAUUGUAUUAUCAAACGCACUUGUAGACUGUUUCAAAUUUCUAUAGCUUUACAUAGUGUUAGGGCAUUUUUGUUAAAUUAAAAUUAAAAACAAAAUAAUAAUGCUUAGUCUUUCAUUGUACACUCUAAUUUAUUGUGUUGCGGAUUGAAACGAUAAAAUUUAACCUUUUUUGAAAAAAUCGAUGAAUUCUAUUAUAAUAAGAUUUUUUUUCAUGAUCCUUGAUCAAAAACAACUCUAUCUUUUUAUAUUUUUACAGCAUAGUUAAAUAAUUAAAUUACAUUCAAAAAUAAAAUUUAUUUAACUAGUAUCUAAAUGCUCUUUUUUUUUUCCCUUCAAAAUUUCACCUUUUAAAACACACUAAAAUAACUAAAUUACUUUUAAAACAAAAUCUCUUUAGCCUAAAGCACAACGGCUUUUCUAUAAUUUCACCCUAGUUUUUUUUUUGUUAUAACAAAAUUAACUAGGGUGUAAUUUGAUAAUUUAAUAAAUAUAAAAUAUUAUUAAAAAACAAAACUAGUAGGUAUGAGCACUCGUUGACAAGUGGAGUGAGCCCAUGCUACUCAAAUAAUGCGUGAGUGUUUGUUUGGCAGCCAAACAAUAGCUUUCAAGGUGGCAUUCUAAUUGCCUUGAUAACCCCUCCAUCCUUAAGCAGCUCGAAUAGCUCAUCGAUCUCCGGUUUGGUGUUAGUGACUUCUUUUUUUUCUCCUCCUAAUUUUCAUGUCUAAUCCUUCAAGUUCUCAAGGCAACCCUUCAAUUUAUUUUCCUUUCAGAUUUGAAUUCUAUUCUUUUUAUUAUUAUUUGUUUUAUUUCAAAUAAUUUAUAAAAUUGGAAUAUUUUUAGUUUCACGCUCCUUUAAUAUUUUCAUCUAUGGAUUUGGUCCAUAUUAUUUUGAUUGCUAGUUGUUUUAUUUGAGAUAAUUUUUAAAAUUAUAUUAUUUUUUUACAUUGGUAUUUUUCUUAUAAAAUCUAAUCUUCAUUUUUUUUAUUGCUAUUUUUUUACCUUGGUAAUUUUUUUAAAUUGAUAUUUAUUUUUUAAUUUUAUCAUUCAACAUUAAAUUGGUUGAGAAUUCAGCUUCAUGAUUUAGCCCGAGUCUAGAAUUUUAUGGGUUGCAAGUUUAGGAGAUUCAUCAAGGUUUAUUUUUUUUAAAAGCUUAUGUUUUCUCAAUUUCAUCCUUCAAUAUUUAUUUAACAUGACAUUGGAAUUCAUUAUUUGUUUUUUAUUUGCUUUCCAUAGGAUUUUUCUUUAAUUUUGAAAAUGACUUGUGUUAUUCGAGUCUUUUGAGUUGUUGUUAUUUGUUAAAUUUAUCUUUGUUUAAAAAAAUUAUUUUUGAAUUAAAUUAAAUUAAUUGAUUAAACAUAAGCAUGAAAUGCUCACUUCAUGAUAUUAUAAUAACCAUAUAAAAAACAAGUUAAAAUAAAUUAUCAACUCUAAACCCCAUAAACAUAUCAUAUAAGAACUAAAAAAAAUCAAUAACCAAAGAAAAAAAAAGUUAACAUACAAAGGAAAAAAAACAACACUAGUUAUUGAUUUUUUUAGUUCUUUUAUAUAUAUAUAUAUAUAUAUAUAUAUAUAUAGAUUUUAGAGUUGAUAAUUUAUUUUAAUUGAAAAAAUAUUAAUAAUUUAUUGAUUUAUAUCCAACAUAAUUGUAUAGUUUUGUAUUGUUUUCUUAGUAUCAUUCAAGAUUGAUUUUAUGAGAUACAUGUAAGGCAUUUUAAUUUUUUUGAAAAAAUUAAGUAUGGAGGAUUGAAAAAAAAAAAAGUAUGGAGGAUUGAAGAUUAGCUAUCCCUCAUCACCGAUUCCUUUAAAGAGCAUAUUUGGUCUCAUCACCAAAAGAUACAUAAUGUAUUCAGAUAUACAUCUGCUUGUUUCAUAUUCUUUGGAGAUAAUACUUCCAUCUUUAUCAAGAAGAUAACAAAUCUUUGUUGCGAGAUGCCAUACAAGAAUGCUCCGACUGAAUUCUACUUCAGUCGUGCACCCCUUGUAGUCCCGUAACAGUCACUCUCUUUCUAGCACACCAUCUCCCCUCUGACCAAGAUGUAUUGCCUAUAAUUCUAAAGCUCCUGCAAUCAGCUUUAGAAUGCAGUGAUGAGUCGUAUCUUCUGACUUCAUUUCUGGGAAUAUGAUGUUCGAGCACUGAACUCCCGAAAGGUUUGAAUCUGUAGCUCACAUUUACCCUUGGAUUGGUGUGUUAUCAAUACUGCAACCUCAAAACAGAGAAAAUGUACCAGAAAACUACUGCAGGAUAUGAAGCCCCUGAUACAUGGACAACGGAAUCUGGUUCAAUCAUCAAAACUAUUCCCAGAAAUUAUUCAACUCAAUAGGCACAUUGAAAAUUUUGUAAGAACCCACCCGGUGAGGUGCAAGACUCCAUCAAUACUGGCUUGUAUAACUCGGAAUCCUUUGCCUGUACCAUGUUAGAAGGCAACUCAAGAAAAGAUUAAAAUUCCGCAUAAAAAAGAUUUCAAGAAGAGCUUCAUGCCUGUUAUAGCAGCAAUGCAAGGACAAUGGUACCAAAUCAAUAAUUAAAAUGAGAGUGAUGAGCAUUGUAAGGUGGCUUGAUAGACACAUCAAAUUUCAUGGAAACUUAAUUGCAUGAAUACGAUGAAGUACUCUUUGAAAUUGAAACAAGAAUCAUAGUUAUAUAUUUAUCCAGAUGUAUAGCAGAUCAGAAACAAGGCAGCUUACCUUGUCCAGUUGAAUAAACGGAUUGACAAGUGAAGCAUCAGAGGAGGCUGGCUUUUCUUACGUUAAUGGAUUGUCAUAUUAAGCUCUGCUUCUUGGCACCUCUCUGUCUAGAGCCUCCCAUCUUGGACCUGAUACUUUUUCCAGGAAAAACCUGUGUAAGAGGAGAGCUGCUUGAGAUGCCUUGAGAACAUGAAAAACAGCGUUCAACGCCUCUCAAGAUUAUUUUUUAGGAAAAAAAAAAAACCUUCAUUCUAAAAGAAAAAUCCCUUCUCUUCCCCUCAUCUUUCGUGCUCAAUCACCCUGAAAAAAAAGCACAGCCACCACAAUUCUGAAGCCUCGGCACCACGACCAGCGUUAAAACCCACCAAAAAUAGUGGCAAUAAGAGGUGCAGAUGGAGGAAGACAGUGAACAACCACUGCCGAUACCCACAUCAGAUCUCACCGUCAUGAAGUCUACCUCCCUCAGUGAUCGAUUAAAUGCGAUUUAGUUUCAUCAAAUUUGGGUUUCUUUUGAUUUAUGGGAGGUUCUUGAAAUGGGUUUAUGUUGGAUAAGUGGAUUUGAAGUAAUCUGGAGAGGGAGAGAUAGUAUUUAAAGAUUGUUUUAGGAUUUCAAGCUUGAAGAUUGCUUGAAGAUUUAAGUCAAAAGACCUGAAUCUUAGGUUUUAAAAACACUGCCAUCAUGGUGAUUUUUUUUUUUUUUUUACAUUAAAAAAAAAGAUUUCUCAUUUUCAGAAGCAAUUAUGAUAUUAAUAAUUUAGUAUUUUUAUUCUUCAAUCGAUAAACACAUGUUUUUCUGACUACGGAUACAACAUAACAAAAUCUUAUUGUUGAUAAAGAUUGAAUAAUCCCUUGAUCAUCAGUUUGUGCGUGCUGGUGAACCUCCUUAAAGAGCACGAAUCCCAUGCUAUGGAGUUGAUGCACCUAAAAAGGACCUCAGCUGCUCAAGCUCUCGCUCUUUACGCUCAAGCUCUUCGUCUUUAUAUGCUACCAUCCUUUUCAGUUCUUUCACCUCCUUCAAAAUAGUUGUAAUUUUUUAUUAAUCUACGCAACUUUUUCUUAUUAAAAAAAAAGAAAUUAAGAGUUUUUAUGAAUUUCAAGUUAAUUUUCUCAUUCCAAUAUAUAGAGGUAAUUUCACUAAUUUCCUAUUGUUAAUCAAUCAACGUUUGCUAGCAAAUUAAGUGCAACUUUGUGUGGUGUAAAAAUUUCAAUUAAAAAAAAAUAACAAUAAAAAUAAACAAAGUUGGUAUAAAAAUAAAAUAAAAUAAAAUUUUAAAAAUCAAAAUAAAAUAUAUAGCAAUAUUCAAAAGAUUGAGAUCAAAUUUGAUAUAAUUAAUAAAUAAUAAGAUAUUUUUGAAAUUUUUACAACUUCUCAAAAGUAUUUUUUACUUCAAAUAAAAAAAUUUAUUUACUGAAAACCAAACUAAAAUUUUCUUGUCACUAUAAAUUAUUUUUCAAAGAAACUUUUCUAACAAUAAACAUAAAAAAGUUUGAUUCUAUAGCCAUAGAAUCCAAACAGUAAAAAGGCAGUGACCAUUCGACAGUUUAUUUGAGGAAAAGGAUAGCGAGAAAGGAAAUUGGCAUCAUACCUCAUUGGAACUUGACGGUGACAUGUCUGCAUUACCUCUCAGAUAUCUAUCAAUGGCCCCACGAUAUUCUUCUUCCUCCUUUAUAUUUUUUGUUGAAAAUUGCGGUGAAACAUCAUCAAGAUUGUUGUCAAGAAUUAAAGUAGUCAUCAGUUAACAUAAUCAAAUAUCUAAUAUUAAUAAUUUACUCCAUAGUUUUCUUAGACACAAAGAUCAAUAUAUGGUAGUCGAUGGAGAUAAUGUACUCGAGAAAUAUUUUUGGUAGACUUUACCCAUGGCAAUUCCAGAUCAUGACCACGUACGUAGUCAUUUAAUGAAUUGUAGUCUUUGAAUGAAUUGUAUUCAUACUGUUCGCUCAAACCAAGAUGUAGCAUGAGAAAGCAGACAUGGUUGAGCAACUCUCCACCUCUUCUCAGUUGUUGAGCGUCUUCUUUCCAUGGAUAAUGAGCUGCUGCAUAAGCAAGCAUUUCCAUCCAAACUUCCUCCCUGCUUGUCGCCGGGCCUUUAGUGGGAGCUUCCUCCUUACUUAUGAUGCUAUCCAAGUCUCGCCGUUGUAAAUAUGAUGCAGUUACUUUGGAUCCAUUGAAUUAAUAACCAUCCCUUCAUAAUUGCAUUUUCUAUUCUCCAAAAAAAUCCCUAUAGUCUCUCAAAAAACUCAUCUGCGACGACUCCCACCAACAACCAGCACUUAAGAACAAAUGAAUCAUUGUUUACAUAUUUUUAAAUUGAUAUAUUAGCCUCAUAAAAACUUCUCAAUUUUUAAAUAAGUACCUGAACUAGCUAGUCUAAGAAGCUGAAUGAGUCAUCAUAAGCACAUGAUGAUGUGGUGGCUCUUCCACAAAUCUGCAAUUAGUAAGUUGAACUCCUGGUAAUUACGUUUCAAAGGCUGACUAAGGGAUGACAGUUCACCUAACAGCUUUGAACAAUUUAAAGCAAAGAUAAAUUAUAAAUACAAUUAAACACAAUCACUAAUUAACAGCCAUCAAUGUAAUUUUUUCAAUUCAUGCAUGCAAAAUAAAGCCCCACAAUACUGUUUCUAGUAGGAACUUAUUUAAGUUAAUUCACUUAAAUAAUUAUGGACACUACAUAACAAAAGCUACUACUCUUAUUCCAUGCUUAAAUUGAUCUCUUUAUUGCAGUUAAUCCCUUGAUCAUCAAUUUGUGUUGGCAAACUUCUUGGAAGUGAAUCAAUUCCUUGUUGUGGAGCUGAUGUAGUUAAAGAAGAUCUUAGUUGCUCAAGCUCUCGAUCUUUGUUGUAACCCAUUUUUGGAUCCCCCUGAAAAAUAAAAUAAAUAGCCAAAAGAGGUUAGGAAAAUAACAGGGGGCAGAAGCGCUCGGAAAACAGUCAGAAAAUUGGUCAAGGAAUUUAAAAAUACAAGGAUUGAAUUUUUGACAGUAUAUUCUUCAAGGAUAAAAGCCCUAUUGAGAAGGAAAAUUUGAAUUUUGAGGAGAAAAGCCCGAAUUUGGAUUUUAUGGACUUAAUUGGAUUUUUAUGGACUUAAUUGGAUGUUUAUGGAUUUAAUUGGAUUUUUAUUUGAAUUUAUAGAAGAUUUGAUUGCAAGAAAAAUUGAUUUUUAAGUCAAUUUGGGCUUUAAUUUGAAGAAAUUUAAGUUCUGGGGCCAAAAUAUAUUUUUUAGGAAUUUAUUGGGUCAAAUCAGGGGCUUAAUUGCAUAAAUAUUGAAGUUUAAGGGCCAAUUAGGGAUUUAAUUAAGAAAAUCCGAAACCAGGGACCAAAUUGGAAGAGGCGCGUAAAUGGAGGGGCUGCAAUUAUUCGGUUCAGGGGCCUAAUUGAAGAAAUUGAAAGUUUAUUAAUCAAUUGAGGGCUAAAUUGCAUAAAUCAGAGACCAAGGACCAAAGUGAAAAAGGCGGCCAACAAGAGGGGCGGGGACCGAAUUUGGAGGACUGAUUUGAAGUUUGACCCAUUUAAAUGAAACGGCGCGUUUUAUCCAAAACGACGCCGUUUCAUAUAUAUAAAAAAAAAAAAAAAAAAGGAAGACAGAACGGUGUCGUUUUGAACGACACUGUUCAUCUUCUCCUUUCCCCCGAUAAACAGAAACAGAGAAAACCAUUUUUUGUUUUUUUCAAAACUUCCCGCCUCUCUCUCCUCGCCCCCACCACCACCACCGAAAGCAUCAAUGGCCGACCAGCCGUUGCGUGAUUGAAGGCGCACUAACAAAAGGCACGCCGUUCCUUUUUUUAUAAAUAGAGAGAGGCCGAAGAGAGAGAGAGACCCGAGGAUAGAGGGAGAAGAGAAUAACGCACGAAGGAGAAGGGAGAACAAAACAAACCGAAAACAAGAAAAACGAAACCGAAAAGGGAAAAACUGAGAAGAGAACCGAAAAAAAAAAAAAAGGAAGAGGGCCACUGUUAGGAUCCGCAGCAACACCACAGCGCCGCCGUCCUCGAGGCCACGACACCGCAGCUCCACCAACGAUCGCCUCCACGCCAGGUGCACAUUCCUCCCCCCCUGCAUUUUUUUUCUUUCGUUGGUGUUCGUCUGGCCUCCUGCAUGUUGCAUGCAGGAGGCGGGGGGGAGAAAAAUAAUUCUCCCCCCCCGCUGGGCCGUAAGGCACUGGGCCAGCCCGAUGCUGGCCCAGCCUUGCAAGUCUGGGCCGGUCUUGGCCCAGACUGUAGAAGUUUUUGGGCCGAGACCGGCCCACUUUAGUUUUGGGCCGAGACCGGCCACUUUAGUUGCGGGCCGAGACCGGCCCGAUAUCAUUGCGGGCCGAGACCGGCCCGCCCCCUUUUUUUGGGCUGAGCCUGGCCCAUUUAUUUGGGCCGGCCCAGCCCUAUAAUAUAUUAUAUAUUAUUAAUAUAUAUAUGUGUGUAUAUAUGUUAUAUAUUUUUAUAAAAAAAAAUAUUUUGAAAAAUCUUAAAAAAUAUUGUGAUUUUUCUGCAUAUUUUUGUCAAAGUGGUUUAAUGUUGGUUUGUAUUUUUAUACUGUAAAGAUACAAAACCAGUGUUAAAAAUACCCGGUUUUCGUCAAAACAUCAAAGAUUUUUCAGAAUAAAAAAUGUUUUUGCUUUCAAAAAAAUUCUAAAAAGUCCCUAAAAAUAUUGUUGAUUUUUCUGCAUAUUUUUAGCAAAGAGGAUUAAUAUUGGGUUGUAUUUUUAUACCGUAAGGAUACAAGCUCAGUAUUAAAAUACCCGAUUUUCGUCAAAGCAUAAAAAAAAUAAUAUUUUCCAAAAAUUGUUUUUGUUUUAAAAUACGGCCUAGUCUCUCCAAUAUAUAUAUAAAUAUUAUAACAUCAUAUUUUCACACAACAAAGAAAAUUUUCAAAACAAUAUAUGUAUUAACAUGCAUUUUGGCUUUAAUAACCAGUUUAUUCAAGCCAUGAGAACUAGGCCAAUAUUUCAAAAAUUCUAAAAAAAAAUCUUUUGUUUUUUUUAGUAUUUGGGAUUACGAAUUUAUACGUAAAACGUAUUCCUAAAUAUUAUUAAUAAAUUUUGGUAUGACGUUAGAACGGUUAGGAUUUUUACCCGAUAAGAUAAAAGACUUCUUACCGAGGAGGAUUUUUCUUGAACCAUAGACAGACCAACAACUAGAAAACACAAUAACACCUUAGUUUUUUUUUAUUUUUAUCAGACAAUAAAACAAUGCAGCUUACCUUAGGUAGGGCGUAUUUGGGGUGCUAAUACCUUACUUUUACGCAACCAGUCUCCGUACCCGAUCUCUGAGACCAGUUAGGGUUCCUAGUGACCAAAAUACUAGGUGGCGACUCCAAAGAACCAAAUCAAACCAAAUAAUAAAAAAUUUCGCCAGUCGAACCCGCAAUUAAAAAAUAUUUUUUUGGGGUGCGACAAUCUUUAUGCUCAAGCACUCGCUGUUGAUGCUUAAGCUCUUGAUUUUUAUGCUCAAGCUCUCGAUCUUUAUACUCAAGUACUCGUUGUUGACGCUCAAGCUCUUGAUCUUUAUCAGUUACAAUUUUUUCAAGUUUUUUCAACUCCUUUAAAAUAGCAAUAUUGUUAGCUCGACAUGAGUAAUUAACAAAUAUUUGAUUAAUUUAUGCAAAUUAUUCUUAUUUAAAAAUAGAAACUAGGAGUCUCAUGAAUUCAAUUUAAUUUCUCGUUUCAAUAAAUAUAAAGGUAAUUUGACUAAUUUCCCAUUAUUAAUUGAUUAAAACUUGCUACCUAAUUAAGUACAUUAAUCUUGUUUUAUAUGCAUGCAUGCAUGCUGUUCGAAGGAGGCAAAUUAAGUGCAACCUUGUUUAAAUAAAAGAAUGUGUGGUGUAAAAACUUAUGCAACACAACGUGAAUAUCAAAAAUAGCUUAUAAUAUUAAGAUUAUUGGUUAGACGACAGACUAUUAAAGGCCUUGGACAUUGAAUUUAGCUGAAGAGAAAGAGUGGCACAGUGCAAAGCAUGGAAAAUUAACAGGUCAUCAAUUUGUCUUUUCCUUUGAAAAGAGAGAGAGAGAGAAAACCUCGUGUGCCUCUGUCUGGUUUGUUACUAAAAAAAAUUUCAUUUGAUCAAGUGUAAAAAAUCAACAAGGCUGGACACGAUGAUAAUUGUACUAACUUGUAAAAGUUCUACCUUCCAUUAUUUGAAAGGAGAUAUGUAUGUAAUACAAUCAAACAAUUUGAAUAUAAAGAUAGGUAGAGUAUUAUAUAUCUGACCUAUAUAUUGGAUCUCCAUUUUCGAAUUUACAUGUAUAUUUAAUUAUUAUAUAUAUUAUUUAAGAAUAAUUUUGUGAGAUAAUUAGUGUAAAGUAUUUUGAUUUUUUUAUGGACAAUAGACUUUUUUUAAUGAAAAUGUACCAUGCAAAGAAUUGUAUCAUGAAUCUUUAUCCAAUAUGGAAAACUAAAAAUUAGCUUCGAUUGAUGUUAAUGCAAGUAUAGAAUUACCAAUGUUACCCUAUCGUUAAAAAGCUUAUUGUUUAAAAUUGGUUUUUGAAUAUAUAUAUAUUUUUUGGAAAUGUUUUUAAGUGUUUUUAUGCAAAAAAUAACAUCUAUAUAUGGGUAUAUGAGAGGAAGUAAAAGAGAAAUGUAAGGAAAAUUGAAAGUUUUGAUAGUUAUUUUAAAAAAGAAAAAAAAUGGAAACUAUUUAAAAAAACUAUACGGUAAAUUGAAAGGUUUUAAAGUAUUGAGAUGGAAGUGAAACAUACCUCAUCGGGACUCGACUCUACCAUGGCUGCAAAACCUCUCAUAUAUUUAUAUCCAGCCUCCUUAUAUUCUUUUCUCUCCUCCUUUUUGUUUUUAUUGAAGAUUGUGGUGGAACAUCAAUCAAUUUAUUGUUAGAAAUUGAAAUAGUUGUCAGUUAAUAAAAGCAAAUAUAUAAUAUUAAUCAUUUAUUCCAAAUUUUUAUUAGACGCAAAGGUAUCAAUAAAAGCAAAUAUCUAAUAUUAACCAUCAUCCAACUGUUUUAAAUUAAAUGACACGCAAUUAAAAUCACUUUAUUAAUAAUGAAGAAAAAGAAAUGAAAACAUUCAAAUGGAAUUUCCAAAAUAAUGAAUUAAACAAACAUAUAUAAAUUGAAAUAAUCUGAUUUGUUAUUUUAUUAUGACGCCUAAAAAAAUGCAGUAUUUAUCUACGUACUUAAUUGAGAAGGAUUUUUGGUAUACUUACCUCUGUCACAUCAAGAAACAGCUCGUCUGAUUCAUUAUAGUUGUACUGUUCGCUCAAGCCAAGAUGUAGCAUGAGAAGGGAGACAUGAGUGAGUAACUCUCCACCUCUUCUCAGUUGUUGAGUAUGCUCUUUCCAUGGACAUUGAGCUGCUGCAUAAAUAUGCAUUUAUAAUCUCCCGUCGCUUCUCAGGUCCCAAUCGCAGCAAUUGGCUGGCGAGCCUUUCCACGCCACGUAACACUGACUUUUCUAUUUUCCAGGAACGUUCAUCAGGAUAACGAUCUUUUAGACUGUUGCGCAAUUCUCGCAAGGCAUGUUGAUACCCCUCAUCAUCAGGACCACGAUCUUUUAGACCCUGCAAUUCUCGCAAGGUACGUCGAUAUUUUCGACCCUGAAAUUCCCCAUCUUUUAGACCCCGCAAUUCUCGCAAUGUUGUUAGAUAUUCCUCAUCAUCAACGAAUCCUUUAGAGAGCAUAUUUGGUCUUAUCACCAAAAGAUACAUCAUGUAUUCAGAUAGGCAUUUGCUUGUUUCAUAUUCUGUGGAAACACUACUUCCAUCUUUAUUCAGAUAAGCAUCUGCUUCUUUCAUAUCAUCACAAUAACAAAACUCUGUUGCGAGAUGCCAGACAAGAAUGCUCCGACUGAAUUCUACUUCAGUCGUGCACCACUUGUAGUCCCGUAACAGUCCCUCUCUUUCUAGCACACCAUCUCCCCUCUUACCAAUUAUUUUACUUCUGUGAUUCUUAUCACAGACAUUCAAAUCUUCCUUAAUCUUCUGAGCUUUCUCUCGAAGAUGUUCGAAAAUAAGACCUUGCAGUUCUCCAUUCAAAUCUUUCCGAUCCACAUGCAUCUGCCUCUUCAUUUCAUCGAUUCCCAGCAAUUCCAAGCAUCUAUGUGGCUCGCUUUCGAAGGAAGAGCUUAUCAGGUUAUACUGUGAUAUGGAUCUCGACCACCUCUCGCUUCUAGUUAACUUCCUUAUCAGAGAAUAAAUUGCACCAGUCAAGGCGUUCUCUCCUUCAUCAAUCAACCAAAUCACUGUCCAGUCAGACAAAACAAGGCAUGAAAAGGCAUAAAACUCGAGAAAAACUGCGGUCGCAAACAAUAAGUACGUGAUUGCAAGGUCGGUCGUCGUUGAGUAGUCAUGCUUGUCAAUCUUGACCUGGAAGGUAAUAAACGCAGUAACAGAGAGCAGAGAGCUGAUACAGCGAAGAAUGAUUCCGCCACGGGAGUAAAUCAGAGGCGCUUUAGUGUAAAGCAUAUCAUAUAUCAAUCCAAGCUCAGCCUCUACCACCUUGAAGGCACCGUCUGCUGUAUUUUUUGAAAUCAGGUCCCUGCUUCUUAUUAGUGCAGGAAUGCCAACGACAAGAUCCUGCAUCAUAAACUUGGAUAUAUAAGAAAAAACAUAAGCUUGAAGAAGAUAAUCUCGCUGGUGGUCUUGUGGACGAGUUUUUGAUAUUCUCGUACGAUCAUAAGAAUCCCGAAAAUCUGAAAAAUAAGAUUUUUUCAAACUCUUGGAGCAUGAAGACCAGAGCACCCAAGUCCUCUCUGCGUACUUCGCAAUGCCAACAACGAACAUUGGGAUCGCUAUGAAUGAGAGGAUACCGCUACCCCAGGACCUUGAGAAGACAUAAAAAGCCACCCCGACUUGGAAUACAAGACCAAGUAAAUGCCUUAACCACAACUCGUUAUCUUCAAUUGAGUAUGCAGUGAUUGUGUCUGGGCCACCAAGGUGCAGGAGUAGAAAAGGUGCCCAAAAUGCCUGGAUGGAAUUGUUUGCUUUCUCUGAACUGUCACCUGAUGAGUCUCCUUGGCUCCUGGCUAGAUUACCCAAUGCAACAGUUGCCACCAUGUCUGCUGAUAGGUAUGCAGACCAAACGAGAAUCCUGAUCCAGCUUCUAGCAUCUGUCUUUCGCCGAGACCCAAAUACGAUGAGGAUGGUUUGUAGUAAGAGACUAAGCAAAACCAUUCCUCGAAUCUCCCAAUUGUUCCAUAAAUUUAAGACUUCUUCAGGCAAUUUUUUAAGCAUUGUCAUCUUUUCCCCAACUAUGGAAACUAGUUCUCUCAGUAAACCCUUGAAAAAACAGUUUUGUAAGAUGAAAAGGUAAAUGUGGAUAUCUUUGAAAAAAUCUCUUAAAAUGAACAGCGAAAA
rnacentral:lncRNA from 1 species